AUAAAACAAUAUUUUUAAAACACUGCAUAAUUAAUUUUUACAGCGAAAAAGUAAAAUAAAUUCAUAUAUAUUGUAAUACAGAUAACCAAAGUAUAAAAUUAAAUUUGCAGUGACACGUGGGCCCACGAACGACCAAAGGUAUCUAGAGAGAUAAACCUACAUAUUUUGAGGAUGCCAGUCCAAUUGUAAUCCUCGAUGAAAUGAGCUAUCUACUGACUAUCUUGAGCCUGAAAGGGUUGGAAAGGAGGGUGGUGGGAUUAUAUAAUCCCAGUGAGUAAACAAAUAUCAUUUAAAAUAUCUAAAGGCGAGUAAAAGGAGACUAUUAAAACAUUUCAUCAAACUAUAAUUUAUCAUCUUUCAACUUAUUUCAACCAAAUGAAAUCAAUUUAUUUAAAUCAAGUAAUCAGUAUGGCUUAUGAAUUUCUUAAAAGCUUGGCUUAUACAAAAAAUUAUUAUCAUACUCAAUUAUUUGGGAUACCUUGGCCGAGGGCUAUCCCAUCUGAGUCCGCCAAGGCUAUUAGAAAGUCAUGUUUUAUUUUGAAAACAUAGUCGUUCCUUGGCGUUGGCCGAGUUCAUCCUCACGUGGUGGUUUGGCGUGAAGUGGACUCUAAACGUUAUACCUUGGGAGUUACCCUACUCACCUCUCCAACCGAGGUAAAAUAUAACAGGAUUUCGUGCCCCUCUAAUAGGCUAGUCCACAGAACCCAGCCCAUUGCAGCAGGUCAAACCCACCAUGCAAUCAAAUUUUGACAACAUGAUAGGGCUAAUAUAUUACUACCCAGCCUGCAAGGGUAAAAUAAAGUAAUUCAUACAAUUCAUAAAACACAGUCCAGCUAGUCAUGCCAACACAAUAACAUAAGCCAUCAAUUAAAUUUUAAAUUUACAACAUAUUAGUGGUCUCCAAUUACUCUAUUUUCAAAAUCGUUAUUUCGCUUCAAGACAAUUUAUAAAAUAUUUUCAUUUAAACUCAUUUUUGUUUAUAAAACCUAAAAUUAGCCAUUUAAAAUCAUUUUCAUAUAAUUUCACCAAAACCGAAUUAAAACAUACUUCAGAUAAUUAAAAUGAUGAUAAGGUUACUCACAGUACUAGGAGUUCGAUAUACUGUUAUUCCCGAUUUUCGAGCACACACUCUUUACCCUUGUUAGAGGGCUCACCACCUUGAUACAGUACAAAAUGGAAAAACUUACUACAUUGGUACUAAAUUGAAAUUAAACUAAUUUAAACUACUAAUGCAUGAUAUGGAAUGCAAAAUGUCCGAUUAAUCGCUUAAAUGUGAUAUUCGACCUAAAUCACACUAUACUAGGUCUAAUCAACUAAAAUCUCCAAUUUAAGUCCAAAUCAAUUCUUCUCACUAUGUACACUCUAAUUAUACCUAAAUUACCUCAGUGACUGUGAAUGAGAUUCAAUUUAUCAGUCCCAGGGUCAAUAAUCACACUUGUCUAUACGUUGAGCAAAAAUUUGAAUUUUCACACCAAAAUUUCCCAUUUAAUUUCUAGUCUCACCAAACAUCAAAUAUCACCAAAAUGUCAUGAAAUAUCAUCAAUUAUAGCCACAAUAUCCUCCUUAGGAAAUUCGGCCAUCGAUGGUUGAUGGGGAAAAUGAAUUCUUUUCUUGUUGUUUUGUUUCUAAAUAUGCUAACUAACUAAAAACACUAACAUAACUUAAAAUCAAAUCAAUCUAACAUCUUUCUCUCUCCAUACCCAUUUUGACCAGCCAUGAAUUCACCAUGAAAACAUGAAAUCUAACCAUGAAAAAUUAGGAGAAAUGCUUAAGGAAAAUAGAUUUCAAGUUUAAAUUGCGAAAUCCUACUUUUUUCACUUGUUUUCCGUGAUUUUCCACACUUUUUCUCUUGAAAUUCUUCACCUCGAGUUUGUUCUCUUCCGUUUUCCCUUUGUUCAUGAUGUGGCCGAAUAUGGAGAACAAGAAUGUGAUAAAUAUGGGCUGAUUUUUAUAAAAAAUAAUAAAAUAUCCUUGCUUGACACGUGUCACAUGCUUAUUGGUCCAUUUUUCUUUUUAUACUUUAAUAAUUAUGAUUCCAUUCUCCACCACAUGAUUUGUCAAAGGUCAAAAUGAGGAUAAGGGAAGACCAUGUGAUGGACAAGUGUCCUAUUGAUGAAAAAUUACUAUUUUGCCCUUAGGGUGGUAAAAUUACCAUUUUAGCCCUAAGCUCUAAAAAACACCGGGAUUUUCACUUCUCAACCUCAAAUCAUACUCCAAUAAGUCAUAUAUGAUCAAAAUCUUCUAAAAGAUUUCCCAUUUUGUCCUCGAGUGGCAAAAUUACCAUUUUACCCCUAGAUAGUGAAAUUUUUGAUUUGACUCCAAAUUAAUCCCCAAACCCCAAAUCACCAUUUUAAGUCAUUCUAGGACUUUAAAAUUUUCAAUUUCACCCUAAAAUCUCUAUUUGAUCUAGUUCGAGGCUUAAAUCAACUUUGUUGUACCUCUAGGUACAAUACCGACUUUUGUAAAUUUUUCAGGACUCUCUUAGCAUGCAAACAUGCUAUCCAUCACAUGUAUGUUAUGACAAGUAUUUUAUAAGGUCGGGCUUUACACAAGUGUUAAAACAACUAACUAUUAAUAGAUGUUCUUCAUUUAUCAAUAGAUGAGCUUAUCUAUCAAUAGAUGAAGAACAUCUAUUAAUAGAUUGAUGGCAUUUUUUCAAAUUAGAAGAGACUUUUUGCUUGUUUUCUAUUUAAAGUGCUUAGCUCUUUUAUUAAACCUUUUUAAAGGAUUGCUUGAACUUGUUUGAACAUAUAAAAUGCAAUUUUCAUCAUUUGCUUAUCAAAUCCAAACUUAGACUUAAAUGAAGCUUUAAGUUUAAAAUCUUCCCCUUUUGAUGUGACAAAAUAGUUGAGCGACAUUUGGUUUUGUUUCUUUGAAAAAGUCCCCUUGAUUUUAUUCUAAUGUGUUGAAAGAUUCCCCCUAAAACUUUGCAUUUAAAAUCAAGUACAAAUAUUAACACAUUCUCCCUUUUUUGUCAUAUCAAAGAGCGAGUGUGUGGGAACGUUAAAGAGAAGGAAGUAAAAUGGAAAGUGAAUAAUAGAUAAAGGUAAAGCAGUAAGUAAGGAAAUAUAUUGAGCAUAACAUUUAUGUAAACAUUAAAAUGUCUAAAAUAUUCACCAGUUAAUCAAAUCUAAAAACAUUGAAAACAUGAAACAAAUAUCCAAAUGUAUAUUUGAAAAACAAACUAAGUAUAGCCAAAAUGACAUGAUGCAUGAAAAUGAGAUGCACAUCAAGCCAUUGAGCAAAGUUGUCCAAAAUUGAGGCGAAGAGAUGUCUUUUGUGAGAGCUCACUGUGGCGGUGGAAAGCAAGAAUGAAACUCAUCCUCCAAGUCUCAUAGGCAUGGCAAUAUCUCACAAUUUUAUGCCUCUAAGACAUCCAUACGCCCAGUCAAUCUAGAAUAGAAGAUAAGUCGAGUGAAGGCAUGCUUAACAUCGAAGGCAGUAGACAUAGGCGGUGCACUAGAUUGAGCAUAGGACAGGCCACCAAGAUAGGCGCUCGAUUCCCCCUCAUUGUCGUUAAGCCCUUCAUGACCCUCAUCAUUGAGAACCGAAAGAUCUAUAGUCCCCUUCCUUGCCUAAAUGCUGUUCAUAAACUUAAAACCCAACAUUUUAAUGGUGUGCUCAUUGAUAGGAUUGAAUAUGGCAUGGGUAUUGGGUGGAUCACAAUGGGUAUCAAUAGAAAAAUAAUCAAUGAUUUCACUCAUUAACAGACCAUAAAGGAGGUUUUUGAUGCCCCUUUGGAUGGUGUUAAGCAUGUCAUCUAUUUGAAUUUGGUGAGAUCAAUGUGACGGUUGAAUUUGAUAUUAAAGAUGAACCAAAAAUCCUCUUGGGUGACCGUGGAGUUGUUGGAGCCAUGAAGGCGAAUGGUCUGAGUGAUGAUGAAGUGUAAGACACGAUCAAAGAAACAGACCCUCUUGCAACUAGAGUCGCCUCAGUCGUUUGGCGGAGGAUAAACAAAAACAAAAUGGAGGUUAUCUUCAUUAAGAACGUAAUGGAGAUCAUCCUAAUGGAUGUGAAUGUGAAUGAUGUAAUCAAUGAGAGCGUGAGUGACAAAGAUGUGUUUCCCCAUGACGUGAGCGACAAAUCUAUCGUCAUGGAAGACUAGUUCACCAAACUAUGAAUCAAAGAACCUUUGAGUGGCAUUGAAAUAAAAAACCCAAACCAAAUUCUCAUAGUAUUUUUUAUUCAGUUUCAAGUAACGGGGUCUAUUCUAAAUAUUCAAAGUUGGCAAGGUAAAGAAAGCGAAUGGAUUUUAGGUAAUGAAAGUCAAUAAUGCACUCAAGCACUACCUUGUGUUUGGAGAAAUUAUCGUUCAACUUUUGAGCAUGCUAUGGAUGGGUGAAGUUGUGUAGGAAGGAAUUACUAUCAAAGGUGGGGGAUGACUUCGCACCAGUAGAGUCAAUGGAAGCCCGAUGAGCGGUUACCUUGGUUCGUUUGGGCCUUUGGCUCAUGGUGGACAUUGAAGGAAUUUGGAUGAUUUUGGACAAAGGGAUUUGAUGGAAAGAUUAAUAGGUUGAGUAGAGGAAUUUAUUUGGACCAAUAUGUUGCAAAUUACAACAAGAGUUCAAGGAGAGAAAGUGAAUUGAGGGUUUGGAAAAGUCUAACACAAAAUUUGGCAGGAUUUUGGGAUGAAUUUAUGGAAAUUUUGGAAGCAAGAGGCUGAAAAAGAGGGAAAAAACAUUUUAAUCAAAUGAAAAAUAGAGAAAAGUGUAGUACCCCAUACCUUGAUAUGGUGGCUAGCAAUGCUAGUUUUAUGAUAUUUAUAUUUAUUUUAUGUUUUUAUAAGAGUAGGAUAAAAAAUAAUUUCAAUUGGUGAAGAAAGGUGCACAAUGGACUGUUGCUCUAUUUGCAUAUGUUUUGGUUUUUCAAGUAUAUCUCCCACUAAACAAGUCCAAAUGACUUGAUUUUUGGACCAUUAAAAAACUAAGAGGCAGGGUUAUAACUUUGAUUUUUACUACUUUGCCCCGUUCUUGCUAGAAAGUGGUCAAAAUCCUUGUUAAAGUGAAAGUACUAUGCUAGAGAAACAGAAUUUGGCAGAACCUUUGAGCGCUGCGACUCUGGAAAUUGAGAGUCGCGGCCCUCACCGUAAUUUCCACAAAUAACGAGUUUAUGGGAUUUUUGAAGCUAAGGCUUUUGGGGGCUAUUUAAGGGACCUAUUUCAGAAGAUUUUGGACCUUUUCCUAGUGUCAAAAGAGUAAAAAGAUUGCACAAGAAAAUGAGGAAGACAAGUGGCCUUGUUAAGGGCAUUAUUGUAAUUGCAUGAGAAAUUAGAUAAGCUUUAACUAUAAAGAUCUCAUCUUUUCCAGUAGUUUCUAUAUUUCUCUAGCAACUUCUUCUUCUUCCUCCUCCCAUCUCACGUUUCUCUCCUCUUCCAUGAAAGCUUCUCUCAAGCUUCCAUCACUCUCUUAAACUAACCUUAAUUUUCAUGCUUUACACACUCUGUUGUAGGGUUUUCCAUACUCUUUUACUGCUUCACCUUAAACAAACCCUUAAAAGUUUUUCUUCAAUACCUUUUCUCACUAGUUGAACUUUGUAGAGAGAGAAAGAGAGGUUUCAUGUUAACUUGAGGACUUUUGGGAAGAAAUUUCAUUACAAUCACUAAGGUAAGUGAUGAAUUAGGAUUGGUUUUAAGUUGUUGAUGAUGGCUAGUAAUUAGAGUUAUGAGUUGUGCUAUUUGCUGAAAUUGUUUAUCUAUUUCUAGUGUUACUCAACUAGAGAAACGAAAUAGCUAAUCAAAUGGUAAUUAGAAGAUAGAUAGGAAGGGCUAUUGAAGCUUGAUUUGGGAAAUAACUUUUGGAGUGAUAUUAAUCUAAAUUGGAUUGGUUGUGAUGUUUUUGUGCGUGAUAGGUUCCAACAAGGCCCUUCAGCCCCAUUUGGACCAUUAGGGAGGUUAAAGUCGAUUAAAGGUUCAACAAAUAUCGGUAAGUGAACUUGCAUUUCAAAAUGUUUUGAGGAAAUAUUUAUGUGUUUCAAUGAAUCAUUUGGGAAUUUUAUCGAUUUUUGCUUUAAAAUUGCCUAGGAACAAGCCCUUGAUAAAAUUUUAAUGUUGUGAAAUGUGAAAUUUGUAAAAGGAGGAAUCCAUAUAUUUUUGUAUAAUGUUGAUAUAUAUAUAUACUAUGUCAUAAAUGGUACCAUUGUGUGACAAAUGCAACCGUGCAUGUGCAGGGUGAGUGUGUACUUACCGGUGAUGACGAUGGUGAGGGAGAUGGAUGGUGAUAUUGUCCAGCUAUGUGCACGAUGUGGUGGGAUGCACAUGAGUUGGGUGAGAUGGGAUGUCCGGCUAUAUGCACGAUAUGGUGGGAUGCACAUGUUCGGCUAUGUGCACGAUGUGGUAGGAUACACAUGUGGUGGGUGAGAUGCAGAUGAUGAAUCUUGAAAAUUUACCGUUAUUUGCAAAUUGAUUUUAUUGCAACGAGAAACAUUUUGCUUAUAUUGCCUUACUUGGAUAAUUACUGGAAAUUUCCUUUCUUUCCAAUUUCAUGUUGAAUGCGGUUCUUUCAUCAUUAAAUGAUUUUACAACCCAAGGUUUAAUGGAGGGAUUUGAAUAAGAACUUGAACUAAAUGGCAUUGUUUUUAAAUAAAUGCAUCAUGUUUUCUAAACAAUUCCUUGUCAUUGCUUGUUCCCUUCCUAUGUUCACUCACUGAGUUUAUACUCACGUUUUUAAACUUCUUGUUUUAGGUUCUCUAAGUUAAAGGUGACUGGAUCCUAGGACAAGGUGCUCCUCCCUAUCCAUUGCUCGGUAGGUUUGUCAUGAUACUAAUGUUAGCAUCCCCGCCCACAGUCACUCCGCUGACGAUCAGAGUCUUUGAAUGUGUACAUGUAAACUGAAUGUAACUUGCUAGGAAUCGUUUGGCAAACUAUUUAUGUAUAUUCCGAUUAAUGAAUACCAUUAUGAGUAUAUACCUGGAUUUUAUGAAUUGAUUUCAAUGAAGUUAUUAUUUGAACAUUAUGAUUUAUAGAUCUUAAAAAGGGAGUUUGGAUGAUACAUGGACUAAUGUACAGAUUCAUACAAGAAGGCUUGCUAAGGCCUAGUGGGCUAUGCCUAUUGGGUCCUUGCACUUGUCAUGGCCAUAAAAUUAGGCUGUGACACAAAGUGAGGUUGAGUUAAGAAGAUUUGGGAAAGAAAGGGAAUGAAGAGUCAUUGGUCUAAGAGAUAUGAAGCAGCAGAGAUGUUUAAAAGAGGGCAUCUAUCAAUAAAUUGUGACAUCUAUCAAUAGAUCACAUGCAAUUACUUCGCCCCAGGUGGUCAUCUAUUGAUAGAUCAUGGUAUCUAUCGAUAGAUUUUUUUGAGCAGCUUUUAUUUUUGGCUACAAGUCCUCAUCUAUUAAUAGAUAGUGUGAUCUAUCGAUAGAUAUAGUCAAGCAAACUUAAGGAAGGCCACGGGACCGCAUCUAUCGAUAAAUGGUGGAAUCUAUCGAUAUAUGACACAUAUUUUUUUGGGAGCUUACGUUUAUCAAUAGAUAUUAUGAAUCUAUUGAUAAAUUGUAUGCGAGACAGUAACUAUUGUCUUGACAAGCUAUCUAUUGAUAGUUAAUAUCAAUCUAUCGAUAGAUGUUCAUCUAGGGCCUUGAAAAAAUAGAGUUAUUUUCUCAAAAUCAUGCAAGAAGGUUCAGAAUUGAAUUUUGGAUCAAAAAUAAGUUCAAAAAUGUGAAAAAAUCUUGUAAAAGCACAUUUUGUACCAAUAGAAGAGACAUUUUUAGUGUCAAAGGUUUGGAUUUUUCAAAGAAAAUGAUUUCUUCAAUAAUUAUGUGAGGUGCUGCUAGAGUUGGAUGGUUGUCUAUGUGUAUGAAAGAUUGAGUCAAGUGCAAGAACAUAUAUCUUAUAGUGAAGUCAAUAAUGUGGCAUAACUGACAUCUUUAUCAUCACAAAGUCAAGAAAAUUCUAAAUAAACAAGUGGACUCCAUUAAUUCAAAUUGUUCACUUCAACGUUCACCAAGAGCAUCUAAUUUUCAUUAUCUAUAUCAUCAAAGGUGCAUUCAUGACACCUAAUUCACUUCUUAUUUUGCAAACUUGUUCUCUAUCAAGAGGUUUAGUGAACAUAUUAGCUGAUUGGUCUUUGGUGCCAACAUACUCAAGAACAAUGUCUUCUUUUUGAACAUGGUCUUUAAUGAAAUGAUGCCUUAUUUAUAUGUGUUUAGUUCUAGAAUGAUGGAUGGGGUUCUUUGUGAGAUUUAUGGCACUAAUAUUAUCACAUUUAAUUGGAAUUCUUUUCAUACAUAGUUCAUAGUUUUCUAAUUGUUGCUUCAUCCAUAGCACUUGAUCACAACAACUUUCGACAGCCAUAUACUCAGCUUUGGUAGUGGAUUGAGCUACACUAUUUUGUUUCUUUGAAAACUAAGAGAUCAACAUACUACCUAAAAAUUGGCAUAUGUUAGCUUCAUAGCUUUCAAAUCAAUCCUAGGUUUUCAAAUGACAACAAGAAAAUGAUCAAAAUUCAUUUAAGUCUUGGAAUAUCAAGUCUAGACAUCCUGCAACACAUUCAAAUGAGUUUGAGAAGAAAAACAAUGAAAAGGACUUUGAAAUAUGCAUUCUAGUCCAUAUCUAUCGAUACAUGUUCUUUAUGUAUUGAUACAUUUGGACAAGUAUUAAUAGAUUUUGAAAUCUAUCGACACAUGUUCUUAAGAAAAGACAAAUUUCAAAAAGUCAAACUCAAUAUAUCAAUACAUUGUCAAAUGUAUUGGUAGAAAUGCAACAAAAUACUGAAUGCCUCAAAAGUAUCAAUACAUUUUCAAUAGAAUGCUCACUGUUUCAAACGUAUCGAUACAUUAGCAAAUGUAUUGAUACAUUUCAAAUAGAAUGUUUAAUUGUUGUAGGUAAGUUCAAAUAUAUCGAUACAUGCACAAAUGUAUCGAUACAUUACAGCAAGAAUUAAAAAAUAAAAAAGGUAAUGCAUCUAUACAUCCUCAUAUGUAUUAAUACAAUGUGACCGUUAGAGCCUUGAAUGAAGAGAAUAAUUAUUAUUUUCAUAUUAAAUGCACUCCCAACUACCUUUGAAGCUUCAACAAUUAUAAGUGCAAGGUUCCUCAGCAUUUAUGAAAGUUGGAAGACUUUGAAACACAACUUAAUAGAGAAGAAUUUGGAAAAAAUCAUUCAAGACCCUUUGUACUUUUCUUUUAACCUUUAAGUCUUUUAGUGUAACAUUUAUUAAGCCUUCAUUCCUUCACCAAACACUAUACCUAAUAUGUUAUUUAGCCUCUAAGAGGCAUACCGACCGCAUUGACACUCUUCUCAUUGCACUUACUUUAGUGGUUAUACCUCAACCAACAUAAAAGGCAUAGUGAUUGUGCUUUAACCAUAAAAAGGCAUUGUAUUGCACUUCGAUUCAAUAGUGGAUUUUAAACUCUUUAGUGAAUCUAAAGGAGAGGACGUAAGCAAAUAAGUGACACCUUUAUAAAAAUUCAUGUUGAUUUUUCUCUUUUCUUACUCCUCUAAUUUCAUUUGCAUUCUCAAUCUUCUUCAUUUAUCAAUUAGUUAACUCUCUUGCUCAUUUUCAAAUUGAGGAUUUGAAAUUAAAAAUGACUAUGUUUUCUCAAAAAUUGAAAAAGAAUCCUCCAAAUUUCAAAACAUUCCAAUUCACCCCUUACUUGGAAUUAUUCACAUUGAGCUUAUUACAUUAACGAUUGGUAUCAGAGCUAGGGCUCAAUCUUGUAGGUCUAAUAACCUUGAAUGAUCUAGAAGCGAAGCUCAACACAUCAAGAUGGAAUCCACCUCAGUAGUUCUUGGUGAAGGCACUCAACUUACAAACCUUCCUUUCUCUCAAGUACAAAUUAUCCUAAUUGGAAGAAAAGAAUGGAGAUGUUUAUUCAAUUAGAUGAUCUUGAUAUUUGGAAUGUCAUUUUAGAUGGUCCUUAUGUUCCCACCAAGGAAGUAAAUAGAAAAACAAUUGUAAAAACUAGAAAAGAAUGGGAUGACAAAGAAACGAAGUUGAUACAAACAAAUUGCAAGGCUUUUAACACACUUCGUUGUUCUCUAAGCGCUAGUGAAUUCAAAAGAGUAUCCAUGUGUUAGAUAGUUAAACAAAUUUGGGAUACUUUAGAAAUGACUUCUGAAGGAACAAACCAAGUUAAAGAAUUCAAGACAAGACUCCUCACACAUGACUAUGAGCUAUUUAGGGUAAAAGAAACUAGGACCAUAAAUAUGAGAGAUUCACAAACAUAGUUGGAGGAUUGAAGGCCUAAGGAAAAGAUUUCUCAAAUGCUCAAUUAGUUAAAAAGGUACUUUAUAGUCUUCCCAAUUCAUGGAGACCAAAAGUAACAGCCAUAGAGGAAGCAAGAAACUUAAAUGACUUUAAGCUAGAAGAACUUAUAGGAUCUCUACUUACAUAUGAAGUGACAAUAAAACAUGAAAAUGUUAUAAAUGAUGAAAAGAAUGAGGAUAAUAAGAAAAAAAAAGGGUAGCCCUAAAGUCUAAAAUUGAAGAAGAUGAGAGAAACAUAAGAGAUGAGAGUGAAGAAGAUGAAGAUAUAGCCAUGAUAGCCAAGAGGUUUAGUAAAUUUAUGAAAAAGAACUAUAAAGGUAUGAGACCUCCUAAAAGAGACAUGCCAUAAGGGGAACAUAGCAAAGACCCCUUAAAUAUUGUAUGAGUGCAGACAAAUGGGAGACACUAAAUAUGAUUACCUAAAUAAGAAGAGUGCCCCAAAGAACUUCAAGAAGAAAUUUGUGGUUGUCACUUGUAGCAAUAAUGAUGACUCUCAAGAUGAAGAAGAUGAAGUUGCCAACCUUGGCUUCAUGGCACUUAAGGAAUCCAAGGUAUGCUUUACCUCUCAUGACUUUAGUUCAUGAACUUUAGAUCAAGACUCAUACUCAUUUGAUGAAAUACAAGAAGCAUAUGACGACUUAGUAUUUGAAUUUGGACAAAAGACAUCGAAAUACAAGAACAUCAUAUCAAAGCUUAAGGUAUAAAAUGAGUUCUUAAUCAAAACAAAAAUAGAACUAGAAAACAUAAUCAAAGACUUGGAAAUUGAGAGAAAUGAGUUGAAAAAGAAGAAUAAGAAUUUGCAUACUACAUUUUCAAAAUUCAACAUGAGUCAACAAAAAUUAAAUGACAUGUCGAAAACACAAAGAACUUUUUUUCACAAAGAAGAAUAGGCUAUAAUGGUACUCAAAAGGAAACUUGUUUUAAAAGUUUAUUUGUUAAAGAAAAUAAAAACUUAGAUCAUUCACCAAAUGCAUUUAUUGCCAUAAAGUAUGACAUUCUACCUAUUCUUAUAUUUUGAGAACUACCACUUUUAUAGGUAAAAAAAUAAAAAAUGUAUGGGUUCCAAAAGGAAGCAAACCUCCACAUGGUAAGGUGGUAAAAUUAGAGUGGGUUCGAAAAGGAACCAAAGGCACUAACUCAUAUGGACUUAAGAAAAUUUGGGUAUCAACGUCAAAUCUUUGAAUUUUGUCUUUGUAGGAGGUGCUCACUUGCUUAAAGUAAAAAAUGUUAGAAAAAGGAUAAUGGUAUCUUGAUAGUGGAUGCUCUAGACACAUGACCACAACUAAGGAAUUCUUCAAGGAACUAAGACUAAAGAAAUCAGGAAAUGUAACCUUAAGUGGCAACUUAAAAGGUUACAUUGAAGGUAUUGAUACCAUUGGCAAAAAAUUCCUCUUUUCAAAUUGAAAAUGUCCUAUUUGUAAAUGGUCUUAAACAUAAUUUGUUGACUGUGUGUCAACUUUGUGACUGUCAUGACCUAGAACCUCCCUCAGGCCCAUGACAACCGCCGCGACGUUCGGAUUGACACUCAUUAUUCAGAAUGCCAAUCGGAACCUCGCAAGGCUAACGAAUCAGUUUCUUGCCUUUCCUGUGAGCAAUCGUUGUUAAAUAUCGAGUUUUAAGAAAAUAUAAACUAUUUUAGAUCGAAAACAAUCAAAAUAAAAUUUUCGCCACAUAGGGGUAUUUUGGUCAUUUUUUACCAAAAAAUUUCGAAACCUGAUAAAGAUACAACGUAUGGUAGAAAAAUAUCCACUGCCGAUUAAAAAUUUUUUUUUGUAAUCUAAAUCAUUCAUUUAAAGUGAAAAGUUGGCUAAUUAAACUAAAUAAAAAUAUUUGAUAAUAUAUUUCAUUUUCUUAUAAAACAAUUUUUAUAAAACUAUAUAUAAAUAAUUUUUGUAGCGUGAGAAUAAAAUAAAUUCAUACAUACAAUAAUUUACAAAGUUAUAAUGUACCGUAAUAAUUACAAUGACAAGUGGCACAUAAAUACACCCAGUAUUGGUGAUAGUAACCUACUGUCUGUGGGAUAGAGAUGUCAACUGGAAUCCUCAACAAAAUAGGGUAUCUACAAGCUACCACAGGCCUGAAAUGUUUGGAAAGGAGGUGGGUGAGAUUUUGCAAUCCCAAUGAGUAAACAUACAUUAUCAUAAAUAUCUAAAGGCAAGUAAAAUGGAGGCACGUUUAAACAACAAAUCACAAACCAUUUCAUAAGGUUUUCAAUUUAUUUCUUAAACCAUAAAACAUUUGUAAUUUACCAAAACAGUUGUCAAGGCUUAUAACCUUUAUUAAAAACAUGUCUCAAGCCAAAAUCUAGUCCUCGGGGAUACCUUGGCCGAGGCAUCUAACCGAGUCUGCCAAGGUUGUUAAGAUAUUUACAUGUUAAACACAUUAUAGUUUUGAAAACAAGCCAUUCCUUGGCGUUGGCAGAGUUACACAUUCACGUGGGGGUUCGAUGUGAAGUGAGCUCGAACACUACCCCAGGAGUUACCCUCCUCGCCUCUACAACCGGGGUAACUAUGAAACCGAGUUUACCGUGCCCCUCUAAUAGGCAGUCCACGAAAACCCGUCACUGUAGUAACUAAACCCACAGAUUUUAAUAAAAUUUCGACAGUAUAACGUGGCUUUUAUUUAUUUAUCCAGCCUGCAUAGUAAAAGACAGCUUACAUUCUAUUCCCAAUGCAAUUAUAAAAUAUAACCACAUAUACUCAUAUAUCAUAAACCAUUCAUAAGAAAAUAUAUUUUUCAGGACAAUUGGUAGCCUCCAAUUACUCAAUUUCAUAAUCAACACAAUAUAUUUUUAUUUGUCACAUUUAUUUCUAAAACAUCAAAAAUCCCAUUUUAAUCUCAUUUUCGUUUCAUAAAAUACAUAAAGAGCAUUUAAAAUUAAACUCUAGAUAAUUUACAAUAAUAAUAAGUUUACUCACUGUUUGUAAAGAUGAAAUGCUUCCUAGGUGCCCCGAUCACUAUUGGUCGGGUACGACUUCCUUGCCUUUACCGGAAGGUUCUCCUCCUAGACACAUUGUAAAAUUUAUCCAAUUCACCACACUGAUGCUAAAUCACUAUAUAAUUGACUUAAAUCCUAUACUAAUACAUGGUAUGAAAUGCAAUAGCCUAAAACGGCUUAAACGCGGUAUUAACCUAUUUUUGGCACUUUACCCGAUAAAUUGCUAACGCGCUCCAUUUUAGCUCUAAAUCGUCCCAUUCUCUCUCCAACAUUUCUAAACAUUAAAUAUCAUCCAAUAACCUUCUAAAAUCACCAAAAUCAGUUCACUUUCCUGCUUGAAAAAUUCGGCCAAAAAUGGGACAUUAACUCGGUAAAUUUUCUACUUUGUUUUUCUAUCACAUUUAACCAUUUUUCAUCAUUUUCUCUUCAUUUCUCUUAGAAUAAAAAUCAGAUCAUCAUCAUUGUACCUCAUUGCAGAUUCGGCCAAGGGUGGGUAUUGUGAAAAUUUAAUGCUUUCUUGCCCAAUUUAAUUUCUAAACACAUUUAACUAACUAAAACUAUCAAUUUAACUAAAAAUCAAAACCUAAUAAAUUUCAAUUUNNNNNNNNNNNNNNNNNNNNNNNNNNNNNNNNNNNNNNNNNNNNNNNNNNNNNNNNNNNNNNNNNNNNNGAAAGGUAGAAAUCAAGCUAAAGUCGAAAAAUCUUACCGUUAGACGCGUAAACGGGCGAAAAACACAAAUUCCCCUUUGAAUUUUCUUGUUUCUCUUUGGUUUUUCUUUUUUUUCUUCCUUUCCUCUCUAUUUCUCUCUUGUUCUCCCUUAUGGCCGGCCAUCACUUAAAAUGGGGUUUAAAUGGGCUGACUUUUCAUUAAAAUAAUAUUAAAUCAUUAAAAAGUGCCAUGUGUCACUUUCCCAUUAGCCCAUUUUUAAAAAUUUCAUCCAUUUGUUUCCAAAUUUUCACCAUACACUUGUCCCACAUAUCCAUAGCUUAGAUAAAAUUCUCAGACUUAUCCAAAGUCUUGGUGGAGUAAUUUUUGAAAUUUACACUUUUGCCCCCGUAAAAGUGAAAAAUUACAUUUUUGCCCCAAAAACUGAAAAAGUGCCCAUAGACAUAUUUUUCAUCCUUUAUACUCAUACAAUUCUCCAAUUUGUCAAAUUUGAUCUAAAUUCUCUCAAAAUCUCAAAUUUUGUCCGUGGGUGGCAAAAUUACGAUUUUACCCCUACACUCCAAAAAUCACCAAAAUUAAACUUUUUCACUUCCUAUUAUUAAAUUAUACUCCAAAUAGUUAAUCUUGGUCAAAAAUUUCACUCCAUGAUCAAAUUAUUAUCUUAGGUGGCAAAAUGAUAAUUUUUGCCCCUAAACAUCAAAAUUUUCAAUUUUACCCCUAAUGAACCCUCGAACUCCGAACAAUCAUUUUUAGUCAUUCCUGAACUAUAAAAUAUUAAAUUUCAUUCUACAAUUCUUAUUUGAACUAGUUCGAGAUUAAAUCAACUCAAGUGUACCGUUAGGUACAAUACCGAGUUUCGUCUAUUCUUAGGUGCUUUCCUAGCAUAAUAACAUGCUAUUCAGUGCAUGUAUGUCAUCACAUGUGUUUAUAGGGUCGGGUUUUACAGUGACAAAGGUUUUAGAGUCAUAUUUGAAUCAUUAACUUGUCAUGUUGUUGAUGUUAAAAAAAAUUAAACUCUAUUUGUUGGACAUAGACAAGGUACUACAUAUGUUGUUUUCUUGGAUGACUUAUCUUCUAACAAUGUAUGUUUCAGGGCCAAAUGAGGAUAGUUGGCUAUGGCAUAGAAAAGUAGGACAUGCUAGCAUGAAUAGAAUUUCAAAACUACUAUCUUUAGAUCUAGUGAUGAGGGUUCUUAAGCUAAACUUCAAAAACGAUCAACAUUGUGAUGCUUGUGCUAAAGGCAAACAUAGGAGAAGCUCAUUUAAAUCCAAAAAAGAUGUAACCACUAUUAGAGCCUUACAAUUGCUUCACAUAGAUCUUUUUGGACCAACUAGAACCACUAGCUUAGGUGGAAAGAAUUAUGGUUUAGUAAUUGCAGAUGACUACACUAGAUUUUCUUGGGUUUUCUUUCUUGCUUGCAAAGAUGAAGCUUUAAAAAUCUUCACUUCUUUUUACAAAAAAGUUGAAAAUGGGAAAGGGUACAAAAUAAUAAAUGUUAGGAGUUACCAUGGAAAAGAAUUAGAAAACCUAGGUUUUAAAAAACUUUGUGAUGAAAAUGGGUAUAGCCAUAAUUUUUCAGCUCCUAAGACUCCACAAUAAAAUGGAUUAGUGGAAAGAAAAAAUAAAACUCUGAAAGAAAUUGCUAGAACCAUGCUAUGCAAAAAAAAUUUACCUAGAUAUUUUUGGCCUGAAGUUAUUAAUAGCUUUUGUUAUAUCAUAAAUAGAAUAAUGGUUAAGCCAACCUUAAAGAAACUCCCUCUAAACUUUAUAAAGGGAAAAAACCCAAUAUUGUUUACUUUCAUCCAUUUGGUCAUAAAUGCUAUGUAUUAAGCAAUGGAAAGGAUAAGCUUGGUAAAUUUGAUGCUAAAAGUGAUGAAAGAAUCUUUCUAGGAUAUUCUUUGACUUCCAAAGCUUAUAGAGUAUUCAAUAAGAGGGCAUUAGUUGUUGAAGAAUCUAUUAAUGUAUUAUUUGAUGAUUCUAACCUUUUUUCUAGAAAGGAAAAUUGCGAUGAUGAUGAUGAUGAUGUAAGUAUCCUUCAAGAAGAAAUUGAAGGGCUUGAUCUCAAUAUUGAAGGAUCCAAAGUAGAUGAAAAGGCACCAUAAAAAAAAGAGCAAAAAAUUAAACCAAUUAUUGAAGAAGGUGAGCCUAGUUAUCCAAUGGUAAGAAAAGAGGUUGUUGAAAGCAAAACAAUUAGUGAUCCUAAUCAAGGGGUAAGAACUAGAGCUAAAGCUCAAAAUGUUUGUGAACAUGUUGCUUUUAUCUCACAAAUUGAACCUAAGAACAUUGAUCCAUCCUUAGAUGAUGACUAUUGGAUAUUAGCUAUGCAAGAAAAAUUGAAUCAAUUUGAAUGGUGUUAAGUAUGGGAGUUAGUUCUUAGGCCAAAUGAUUAUCUAAUUGCAGUAACUAAAUGGCAUUUUAAAAACAAAAUGGAUGAAAAUGGACAAAUAACUAGAAAAAAAGCUAGGUUGGUUGCUAAAGGACAUUGUCAUGAGGAAGGAAUAAAUUAUGAUAAGACUUAUGCUCCUUUAGCUAGAUUAAAAGCCAUUAAAAUGUUGUUAGCCUUUGCAUGCUAUAUGUACUUCAAGCUAUAUCAAAUGGAUGUCAAGAGUGCCUUCCUUAAUGGACUAAUAAAUGAAGACAUGUAUAUUAAACAACCAUCUGGUUUUGAAAGCCCUUCAUUUCCAAAUCAUGUGUUUAGAUUAAGAAAGGCCUUGUAUAGUUUAAAAUAAGCUCUUAAAGCUUGGUAUGAAACAUUUUCAAAAUUCUUAAUCAAAAAUUAUUUUAAUAAAGGUAAGGUUAAUAAUGUUAGCUUUAAAAUUAUUAUAGUUUUGAUUAUGACAAAAUGAUCAAAUUUGCUUGAACAUUAUUUGAGUAAUCUUUGACAAUUUCUUGAAAGGAUUUAACUCCCAUACAUUUGUUCUUACAUAAACACAAGCUUGACUCUUGAAGUUAUUAAACUAUAUCUAUAAGCUUGUAUGACUUAGGUGUAUGAGAGCUUAUGAUUCCUAUUCAUUAAAGUCUGAUUUAAAGAUUAAAGGAAAAUGUAGAUGCACUCAUUAAGGGGGAGUUUUGAAUAUCUUUUGUAAUGAUGGCAAAAAAAAAAAAGGAGAGAAGGAAAAGUAAGUUAAAUUGAGUGUGAUAGGUUUCCAUUUUUAAUUUAUGUGUAUGAUGCUUAGUUAUGAUUUUAAUGAAUAUUAUGUGCUAGUUAUUAUGGAUAUUCAAUAUAUCUUGCUUAGCUACUGUGGGCAUUAUAUAUUUUGCUUAGCUAUUAUGGACAUGAUAAAUAGUUUAUUACAAAUCUUUAAAGAAAACUAGAUGCAUUGACUAAGGGGGAGCAACUCAUUAUGCAUAAAGAUUUGAAGCAUUCAUAUUGAGCAUAGACAUUGCACUAUUAAUCUAGGAGUGUUUUGUUAUCAUCAAAAAUAAGAGAUAAAGAAUGUUGACUCUAUAUGCUUUUGAUGAUAGGAAAAUAUUCCCAUUCAUUUGUGUCUAAUGCCUUUACUUGAGUGUGUAGGAAAAUUAAUGUAUGAAAUUAAUAAAUCAACCUUUCAAAGUGUAUAUCAAAAGAGAAAAGGAGAUAAAAAUAAUAAGACAUGACUACUUAACAAGGAGGAAGCUCAUUAGUUGAAUAAGGAAGAAUGUUGGUUGGCUAAGAUUCAAAUUAGAGAAAUGGCAAGCUGAAGAGUUUGAGAAAUAGAACCAACUUAGUCAACCAAGUAAGUCGGGUAAGUGCUUUCUGCCAGAAUGUAACUUGAAACAGAACCAACUUAGUUGACCAAGUCAGUCGACUAAGAGCUCCCUGUUUGGAAAUUGAACCAGAGCACUACAAGACAGAUUAACGGCUAGAACUCAUCCUCAAUUGUUUUCAACAGACAUAAAAUUGCCAAAUUGCCAUCUGAGUUACAUCUCUAAGUAUAAAAGGGUCUUCCAACAAUUAGAAACAAGUUCUUGGAAGUUUUGGAAGAGAUUUGAGCAAUUAAGAGUUGAUAAACUAGAAAAUUUACUCUUCACCUCACUGCACUUAAACGUGCAUUCUUUGUACUUGUAUUCUGCACUCAACCUUGUACCAUUCAGAUCAACUUGUGAUCAUAGGUACUUUCUUCUACUUCUUUUAUUGUAUUCUUAAAGUGAGGGAGUCACUAUAAGUGGCUGUUUCAAGCAAGGUUUGUUUGAAUGUGUUAAGGUUCUAACUUAGCCUUGAAAGUUAGUUGUUGGGUUUUGGUAGAUCCCAUGAAGAACCAUUGUUGUAGGUUGUGGUUGAGCCUUUGAAAAACCAUUUUAGGUUUUGGUUGAGCCCGUGAAAAAUCAUUGUGAAAGGUUGUGGUUGAGCCUUUGAAAAACCACUUUGGGUUAUAGUUAAGCCCCGAAAAAACUAGUGUAAAAGGUUUUGGCUGAGCCUUGUAAAAACCAUUAUAAAGCCUGACAAAAGCUUAAGAAUUUCACUAUUUCUUAGUAGAUUGUUUGAAAAAUCCUUAGUUGGAUAAUCAAGGUAGUGGAUGUAGGUCUUGGACUGAACCACUCUAAAUUGUGCUGUCUUGUUUACUCUAUUUUUGUUGUAUUUUCAUUCCUUCAUUUGUCUCGCCUUUGUCUAUACUUAGAAACAGUUUUUGAAAGAGCCAAAUUGUGCUAUUCACCCCCCUCUAACACAAAUUAUUGGGACCAACAAGUGGUAUUAGAGCUAGCUCCCUGUUAUUAAGGCUUAACAACAUUUGUGUCAUGACCUGGUACUCCCCUUAAGCCUGUGACAACCGUCGUGACGUCCCGGUAGACAUUCGUUACCUAGAGUGCCAACCGAAACCCCGUAAGGCUUUAGUACCAUUUUUUUCAUCUCCCCUAUGAGUAAUCAUCGCCAAACCUCAUUUUUAAAGAAUUUUAAGCUUUUUCCCUUUCAAAACCGUAGAAAAAUAAUUUUGGCCUCACAGGGGCGUUUUCGUCAUAUUUCCUUUAAAUUUUUUGAACCCGACUAAAGAUGUAGUAGAUGAGUGGAAAACACAUAUUUCAUGAUUUAAAAUAAUUUUGGGUGUCUAAAACAUUUAUUAAAAAUGAGAUUGUGACUAUUUGAAUAAAAUAAAAAUAUUCUAAUUUCUUGUAAAACAAUAUUUAUAGAGUCAUCGGUAAAUAAUUUUUGUAAUGUAAAAGCUAAAUAAAUUCAUAUGUACUAUAAUACAGAUAAUCGGGAUAUAAAAUUUACUUUACAGUGACUCGUGGGCCCGUAAGGAACAAAAGUGCACAAAGGCAGUAAACCUACAAUUUUUGGAGUAGUAAAGUCGACUAUAAUCCUUGACGAUAUCUGCUAUCCACAAGCUACCUCGGGCCUAAAAUUGUUGAAAAAGAGGGUGGUAAGAUUAUAAAAUCCCAGUGAGUAAACAGAUACCAUCUAGACAAUCUAAAGUCGAGUAAAUAGAGACAGGUAAAACAGUUUAACAUACUGAAAUUCAUCACCUUUCAACUUGUUUCAACCAAAUAAAAUCAAUUCAUAUAAAUCAAGUAAUUAACACUACUUAUGAAUUUCUUAAAACUUUGGCACGUGCCAAAAUCAUUCUCAUACCCAGUUAUCAGGGAUACCUUGAUCAAGGGUGUGAGACCUUGACUUUUAUAGACUCGUAAAGGAAAGUUUACGCGAUAUCCCUAAUCAAGGGUAAUUUCAUUAUUUCCUUAGUAAGCCCAUAAAAGUAAGAUUUUAAACAAUAUUAUGGCCUAAGUAUGCCUAAGGCAUAAAUGGAUGAUGAAAUUAGGGGUAAAAUAAAAAAAAAAUUUUGAUGAUUUUCAAGAUAAGGGCAAAAUGGUCAUUUUUCACAUCGUGUUAAAAUUUUAAGUUUUCAUGAACCCGAGUAUGUCUAGACCAUUAUGGACCUUGUCCCAAUGUCAAAGGAGUAAAAAGAUUUCAUAAAGGGUUGAAGGAGAGUAAGUUAAUUAGUGGAGGGGUAAUUUGGUAAUUUCAAGGGAAUGGAUAAGAUUGGCUAUAAAUAUCUUUCUUUCAGCAGCUUCUUCUCCCAUUUUCCAGCAACUUGUCUUCUUCUUCUUCUUCCAUCUCACGUUGCUUCCAACCUCCAUGGAAGCUUGAUAUGGAGCUUGCAUGAUUUUCUCUCUUUAACUCUAGUUUUCACACUUUUGUGCCCUUAUGACUAGAACCCUUGUAUUCUUCCACUCUCUCUCCUUAAAACCCUUGAAAAAUCUUAUUUUCACUAGUUGGGUGUUCUAGAGAGAGAAAGAGAGAAUUACCCCAUUUGUGUGGAAGCUAUUGGAAGAGAAUUCAACUACAAAGGAAGCCUAGGGUGAAUGAUGCACUAAGCUUGGUUUUUAGCUAUGGAUAAUGGCUAGUAAAUUAGAUUAUGAGCUGUUUUAUUGUUGAGGAUGUUCAUUCAUUUUAUAGUGAUUUAGAUAGUGAACAUAGAUAGCCAUUUAAAGUGGCAAUUGGGGGUUAAAUAAGAGAUAGCUUUUAGGGUUUAUAGUAUGUGAAUUAACAUAAUGGGGAUGUUAAUGUGAUGGUAGGUUUCAAGGAAGCUCCAUCAUCCCAUUUGGACAAUUAAGGGAAUUGGAGUCAUCUAAAGGCUCAACAAUAUACUAGUGAGUGGACUGCCUAUCAAAAAUUAUUUUGAGAAUAUGACUGUUUUGUACAAAGUGUUUGAAUGAUUUUAUACAACUUUUCCCAAAAAUGAAUGCCUUGGGAACAAGCUCUUGAGAAAUGGUUUAUUUUAUGAUAUGUGGUUAUUAUGGAUUUCUAUGCGGCUGCAUUAGGUUGAUAUACAUAUAUGUUUGAAUAUGGUGUUGUGUAAUUAUAUUGACUCGGCUAUGUGCGAGUAGGGAGUGCGCAUAAGCCGAGGAUGACCCGAUUAUGUGUGAGUAGGGAGUGCACAUAACUCGGUGAUGACCUAGCCAUGUGCGAGUAGGGACUGCGCAUGAGCUGGUGAUGAUGAUGAUGGGAUGGUGUGUAUGAUGAUGAUGGGAUGGUAUGCAUAAUGAUGAUGGGUAUAUACGUAUACAUAUAUACAUAUGUAAAUAUGUGUGUUAUAGGAAAUUAAUGGGCAAUGGUAUAUGGUUGUAAUGCAUGUGAAACUUGACAUGUUAAACCUUGGGAAAUUGUUAUGUGUUUCGUGUUGGUUUGGACAUUUCAGCACGAUGGUUUUUCCUUGGAAAAAAGGGCAAAAUUUUGCAUUGGUGCCUUGUUUCUCACUACAGUGAAAAUCAUUCUCACUGAAGCGAAAAACUCUCGGGUUUUGGAGGGGUAGGCUGGUUGAAAACUCGCUACAGCGAGGAUACAUAUCGCUGCAGCGAGAAUGACACUGUAGCUUCUCACUGCAACAAAAUUCAUUCUCGCUGCAACGAGAAACUUUUUGUUUCUGGGUUAAAAUUUCGCUGCAGCUAGAAACUUUUUGUUUCUGGGUUACAAUUUUGCUGCAGUGAGAUUGAAUCUCGUUGCAGCAAAAAACUUUCUGUUUUGGUCUCCUAUCUUGUCCAAUUGCUGCCCUAUUUUUCACUUCUUUGCUACCAUAUCUAAGCUUGGACUUCCAACAUUAAGGAUUAAAUGAGUUAAAUUUAAAAUAAGGAGGUUUAGUGAGAAACCCUCAGCCAGUUAAGAAACCCUCGUUCGGCUAAUAACUUAAUCCCAACGUCGCAGUAGCGGAAAGGCAUUCACGCUGUAGCGAAGAUUCGUUGUCAUAUUUGACUUGCUUGCUUAUCAUUGAAGUUUUCAUUCUUCAAAUAGUUUGUUAUGUAUGGGUUCAUGAUCUUCAAAUGAUUAAUCAUUUAAGGGCUUGAUGAGGGGUUUUUAAUAUGAAUGGAACCAAAUUGCAUUGUUUUGAAACAAGUGCAUCAUGAUUUUUAAUUCUCCCUUGUUGUUGCUUGUUCCCUUCCUUGUUCACUCACUGGGUUUAUACUCACCGUUUUCAACUUCAUGUUUUCAAAUCAUGAGGCAGCCGGUAACUAGGACGAGGUGUCCUCGUAGACUUGUAUCCAUCUUUUGUUAGGUGUCUCGGCAUUCAGUAGCUGUACAUUCGUUCGAGUCCCUCCGUUGGAAGUCGAGUAUUCUUUUGUUGUGUAUAGACAAACUUAAUGUAAAUUAUUAAGAUGCAUGUUGUAGAUAAUGUAUACACACUUGUUUUGUAUGCCAAUAUGAGGUGGCAAUGUUUAAUAUUAUUUUGAUUCUAAGUUAUGAAAUAUGACUUAGCAGUUUAUGAUGGAAUGAUGAACAUGUCAGAUUAAUAGGCUUGCUUGGGCUUAGUGGACUAUGUCCAUUGGGCCCAUGUGCCGGUCAUGGCCCAAAAUUUGGGUCAUGACAGAGGGCUAUCCCAAUCGAGUCCACCAAGGCUGUUAAAAAGUCAUGUACGCAUAAAUUAUGUUUUUAUUUUGAAAACAUAGCCGUUCAUUGGCGUUGGCUGAGUUCCCCCUCACGUGUUGGUUUGACGUGAAGUGAACUCUAAAAGUGUUAACCUCAGCAGUUAUCCACCCUUGCCUCUCAUACUGAGGUAAGAAUAUAAUGGGGUUACCGUGCCCCUCUAAUAGGCUGGUCCACGGAACCCGUUCACUGCAGUAAGCUAAUAAUUUGUGAGACCCUGUCAGGCUCGAUUAAAAGACGGUAUUGUACCGAGUGGUACAACUAAGUUAAAUCGAGCCUUGAACUAGUUAAAAUAGAAAUUCUAAGAGGAAUUUGAAAAUUUUAAAACCAACAGAAUGGCUUAGAAUAGUGAUUUGGAGUUCAAGGUCCAGUUUGGAGUCCAUCAGAAAAUUGACCAAUUAGGGACAAAACGGUCAUUUUACCAUUUGAUGAUAAAAUGGAGACUUUUAGCCAAGAUUUGAUCACAUUUGACCAAGAAUAAUUAUAUGAAAUAUAAUUAUGAUUAUUGGAGUAUAAAAUGAUGUUUAGCAGUGAAAAAAUGUGAUUCCCUGUAUUUAUGGAGCACAAGGGCAAAAUGGUAAUUUUGCCACUAGAGGACUAAAAGAAAAUUUUUUUAAACAAUUUUUGCCCCAUUUGAUUAAUAUUGAUCAAUAUUAGUGUUAUUUUAGGUUGAAAAGUAGAAAUAAUGAGAUUCCGGUACAUUUCGGAGUAUAAGGGUAAAAUCGUAAUUUUUUCAUCCCGGGGGCAAAUCAGUAAAAGUUUCGCCCCAACACUUGUCAAGACCAAGGGAUUUUAAUUGUGGUAGGAUUGGAUAAAUACCAGAAUAUUUGUGGUGGAAAAUUAAGAAGAAAAAGUCAAAAAGUUAAAAAUUUGGCCAAUAAGCAUGUGACACAUGGCAUGCUUGAUUAUUUUAUUAUUUUCUAUAGAAAUCAGCCCAUUAAAUCCCCAAUUCCCUCACCAUAUUCGGCCUAGACAUCCAGCAACAAGAAAAAAGGAAGAACAAAAGGAAAAACAAGAAAACCUAGGUGGAAAUUCAAAGAAAAAGUGAAGAAAUCAAGGAAACAAGCUAGGUAAGUUAAAAUUUCUUUAAUUCUCCUUGAUACCUAGCUUACCCAUGCUUUUGUUCUUGAUUUCCAUGGUUGAAUAUUGAGUUAUCAUGAUGAAUUCAAUUCUGAAAAAUGGGUAUGGAAGAGGAAUUGUUGUUGGAAUAAUUUGAUUUUAGACUAUGUUAGUGUUUAGGGAUAGUUAAGCAUGGUUAUGAACAAAAACACAAAAGAAAUAUUCAAUUUCUCUAGGGUUCCUUGUUGGCCGAACCAUGAGGGCUGAAUAUCAAUGGGGGAUUGUUUUUAUUUCAAGGAAAAUGGCAUGGAAAAUGAUGAAGUAAGGUGAAACGGUUAUGUAGAAAAAAAUUCGAUGCUAGUACACCAAAUGACCAAAUUUUUUCUAUAAGGAAUUGUGAGGGUUCUAAUGCUGAAUUUGGCUUUAUUUAAAUGUAUGUGGUAAAUUAAGGUAUUAGAGGAGAAAUGAAUUAAUUUGGAGGUGAUUUGGACACAAUCGCCGAUUAAUCGGGUGAUCGGUCGAAUUUAAUCGAUACCGUGAUUAAGCGGUAAUCGGACAUAUUUUUGCAUUUACAUAUCAAGCAUUAGUAGUUUAAAUUAAUUUAUAUCAAUUUAGGGACAAUAUAGUAAAUUCCUCGACUUUGUUAUUUGUCAAGGUGGUGAGACGUCCGGAAAAGGCAAAGGAAUUACGCUUGAGGACUAUUAGUCAGAGUUCACCCGGAAUCCGAAUUUUCGACACCUGUGAGUGGACUGCCUAUCAAAAUUGUUUUGGGAAUAUGACUGUUUUGAACAAAGUGUUUGAAUGAUUUUAUGCAAUUUUUCAUGAAAAUGAAUGCCUUGGGAACAAGCUUUUGAGAAAAGGUUUAUGUUAUGAAAUGUGGUUAUUAUGGAUUUCUAUGUGGCUGCAUUAUGUUGAUAUACAUAUAUGCUUGAAUAUAAUGUUGUGUAAUUAUGUUGACUCGGCUAUGUGCGAGUAGGGAGUGCGCAUAAGCCGAGGAUGACCCGGUUAUGUGCGAGUAGGGAGUGCGCAUAACCCGGUGAUGACCCAGCCAUGUGCGAGUAGGGAGUGCGCAUGAGCUGGUGAUGAUGAUGAUGAGCCGGUGAUGAUGAUGAUGGGUUGGUGAGAUGAUGAUGAUGGGUAUAUACGUAUAUAUAUAUAUACAUAUGUAAAUAUGUGUGAUAUAGCAAAUUGAUGGACAAUGAUUUAUGGUUGUAAUGUACAUGAAAGUUGACACAUUGUACUUUGAGAAUUUUCAUGAAUUUUAGGUUGAUUUUAUUAGUUUAGUAGGAUGGCUUUUUGUUGAGUGAGGAAAAAUGUUUCUCUUGUUGCUCUGUUUUCACUGCAGCGAAAUUCAUGCUCGCUGUAGCAAAAACCUCUAGGGUUUGGAGGGGUUUUAAAUAGGAAUGAACUAAAUUACAUUGUUUUGAAACAAGUGCUUCAUGAUUUUAAAUUCUCCCUAAUUGUUGCUUGUUCCCUUCCUUGUUCACUCACUGAGUAUUGUACUCACGUUUUAUAGAAAUUCAUGUUUUCAGAUCAGGUGACUGUUGGACCCUAGAUCGAGGAGUCCCCGUAGUGCAUCUCCUAGGUAUGUGUCUAGCAUUCGAUAGUAAUCCCUUUUAUUGUAAAUGUCUCUGCUGGAAGUCAUGAGUCCUUUUGUAUUAUGAAUACAAUCUAACAAUGUGAAUAUGUGUAUGCAAUGUAAAUUGCUAAAUACAUGACUGGUAUAGUGCAUGUAUAUUAUUAUCGAUAAUGCCCUUAUGUGUUGGCUAUGUUCACACCCGAAAAAAAGUGUGUGUGUAAGCAUGAUAUGAUAAAUUUGUUAAGCAAAGGUAAAUGGAUAGGCUUGCUUGGGCUUAGUGAGCUAUGCUCAUUGAGCUCAUGCGCUGGUCAUGGCCCGGGAAAUUGGGUCGUGACAUAAUUAUUCCACCAAUCAAUGAAAUUUAACAGAAUGACAUGGCAAUUAUUGUAAUUCACAGCCUUUCAAGGCUAAAUACACAGUUCAUAUAUAUUUCAACACAAAUACCAAUUCAGCCAUUCAUACAAAUAUUGUCAUAAGUCAUUCGAUUCAAACCAUGACAACACAUGAAAACAGUCUCCAAUUACUCUAUUUUCAAACCAUCAUUCAAUUUUAAAACAAUUUUAUGAAAUCAUUUCAUUAAAUCACAUUUUGCUUAUAAAAUCGAAAAAUUAAUCAUUUAACUCAUUUUUCAUAAAAUUCACAAAAUCGGAUAAAAACCACUUUAGAUAAGUAAGAUGAUAGUAAGGUUACUCACAGUAUUAGGAGUUCGAUAUACUCCUUUUCUUGGUCUUCGGGCACAACUCUUUAACCUUAUUAAAGGGCUCACCACCUAUACAUCAUACGUGACACAAAUUUCAAUAAAUUGAGUCAAUUUAUCAUAAACUAUUUCAAGCUCUAUAAAUCUAUAUGAAUGCACGAAAUGUGAUGCAAAAUGUUUAAAUAGCUGUUUAAAUACGGUAUUCGACCUAAUUUGCACUAUUCUCGGUGUCAUUGGCUAAAACCUCCAAUUUAACUCCAAAUCAAUUUCUUUCACUUUUUACACUCCAAUUAUACUUAAAAUACCUUAAUGACUGUCAAUAUGAUUCAAUUUAUCAGUCUGGACCAUAAAUUGCACAUGUCUAUGCAUUAGGUAAAAAUUUAGAUUUUCAUGCCAAAAUUUCCCAUUAAAUUUCUAGCCUCACCAAUCAUUAAAUACCGCCAAAAUAUCAUGAAAUAUCAUCAAUUUCAGCCUCAAUAUCCUCCCUAGAAAAUUCGGCCUCUUGUGGGUUUGUGAAGAACAAAGUGAUUCCUUGCUAGAUUUUCAUACUUUCCAUUACCAAACAACCAAAAGCACUUAAUUAGCUUGAAAUCUAGCAAAAUCAAUGCUUAAAACCUCUCCUCUCAAAUUCGGCUAGCAUGGGUUCAUCAUGCAAACUUGAGUUCUAAGCAUGGAAAUGAAAAAGAAAGCAUGGGUAGUGUAAAUCACAAGAUAAAAUCACAAAAUUUUACCUUUAUUAGCUUAAUCCCUUGAAAUCCCACACUUUUUCUUCAAUUUUCCCACCUAAGGUUUGUGUUCUUUCCUUUCCUCUUCACUUCAUGCUUUGGCUAGCCAUAUGGGUGAGACUAAGAGAGUUUUAAGUAGAUUUUACAAGGAAAUUCUAGAAGAAUCCAAGCUUGACACAUGGCAUGUUUCCAUUAGUCCAUAUGUAAUACUUAUCCAUUAAGCAAUCUCCCUCCACCACAUAAAAUGUUUCAAUUAUCCACAAUGUAAAAUUUUAAUAGCUGAAAUCCAUGGGCAUGACAAGUGUUAGGUGGUGUAAAAUUCCAAAAUUCCAACUUUACACUUGUGAACUUGUAAAAUUACCGUUUUGCCCCUCGGACUCCAAAAAUGUCAGAAUUUAAAAUUUUCACCUCUCAAACUCAAAUCAUACUCCAAUGAGUCAAAUGUGAUCAAAAUCUUUUCUAAAAAUUCCCAUUUUGUCCUUUGGUGACAAAAUUACCAUUUUACCCCUAGAACAUGAAAAUUCCAAAUUGACUCCAAUUCAGCUCUUGAACUCCAAAUCAUCAUUUUAAGUCAUUCUGGGGUUUUAAAAUUCUCAAUUUCAUCUUAAGAUCUCUAUUUAGACUAGUUCGAGGCUUAAUUCAACUUAAUAGUACCAUUUGGUACAAUAUCGACUUUUGAUGAUUUUUCGGGGCUUUCAAAGUAUGUAAGCAUAUUGUCAAUCACAUGAAGGACAUGGCAAGUACUUUAUAAGGUCGGGCUUGACACUUUGGGAGGAUCCAAAUGGCUUAACUAAAAUCAAUAGUUGCUGAAGGACAAUCAACAAACAGACCACCUCUGUUUGAUGGCUCAAAUUACUCAUAUUGGAGUGCUAGUGUGAGACCUUGACCUCUAUAGGCUCGUACCUAGGCAUAGACGCAAUAACACGAGCUGCGGAUAAUUUCGUCGUUUCCUUAGUAAGCCCCUAAAAGUAAGAUUUUAAACAAUAUUAUGGCCUAAGUAGGCCUAAGGCAUAAAUGGAUGAUUAAAUAAGGGUAAAUUAAUGAUGAUUUCCAUGGUAGGGGCAAAAUGGUCAUUUUUCACCUCGGAUCAAAAUUUUUAAGUUUUGUGAACCCGACCAUUUCUAAACCAUUAUGGACUUGUUUUAGUAUUAAAAUAGUAGAAAGAUUGCAUAAAGGGUUGAAGGAGAACAAGUUAACUUGUGAGGGCAUUUUGGUAAUUUAAGUGGAGUGGAUAAGCUUGGGCUAUAAAUGUCUCUUUCUUCCAGCAGUUUCUUCUUCUUCUUCCUUUUCUUUCACGUUGCUUCCAACCUCCAUGGAAGCUUGAUAUGAACCUCCAUAACCUCCCUUAAAAUAGCUCCACUUUUCAUGCUUUUAGUGCACCCUUUCAUAAACCCUUGUGCUCUUCCACUCUCUCUCUUUAAAACCCUUGGAAAACCCUAUUUCCAUACUUUCUCUCACUAGCUAGGUGUUUAGAGAGAGAAAGAGAGAACUCCCAUAAUAGCUUGGAAAAUUUUUGGAAAGAAUUUCAAAGUUACAAAGCUAUCAAGAUGACUAGUAAAUUGGAGUUGAGCUUAAAGUGUUGAGAAUAUCUAGUAAUUAGAUUUGUGAGAGUUUAUUUGUUGGGAUUGUUAUUCAUUUAAAUGUGAUUAGAGUAUUGCAAACAAUAGCCAUUUAAUGGUAGUUGAAAACUAGUUAAGAAUGACUAGUAGAACCCAAUUUAGAAAAUAGUUUUGGAAUAGUAUUAAUGCCAAGUUGUGGUAAUGGUGAUGUUGUUGUGCAUGAUAGGUCCCAACGAAGUCCCAUAGCCUCAAUUGGACCAUUAGAGGAGUUAGAGUCACCUAAAGGCUCAACAAAAUACCGGUGAGUGAACUUGCAAUUCAAAAUUUGUUUUGGGAAUGUGAAUGUUUUUGCACAAAGCAUUCGAAUGAUUUUAUACAACUUUUCUAAAAACGAGUGCCUUGGGAACAAGCCCUUGAUAAAUUGUCUCUAUGUUGUGACAUGUGGCUAUUGAGGAUUCAUGCACUACUACAUUUUGUUGAUAUAUAUAUAUAUGUACGACUAUGUGUUAUGUUAUGAUAUUGACCCGACUAUGUGCGAGUGGGAGUGCACAUAAGCCGAUGCUGACCCCGCUAUGUGCGAGUGGGAGUGCGUAUAAGCCGAUGCUGACCCAGCUAUGUGGGAGUAGGGAGUACGCAUAAGCCGAUGCUGACCCAGCUAUGUGCGAGUAGGGAGUGCACAUGAGCUGAUGAUGAUGAGGUGGUGUGCAUGGUGAUGGAUAUAUAUGUAUAUAUAUAUAGACAUGUGUAUUAUAAAAAGGUUAGGAGUAUGGUAUAUGGUUUUGCACAUGUGAAUCUUGCAUGUUGAACUUUGGGAAUUUUAUGCGUUUCAUGUUGAUUCUUGUCAUUUUAGCAAGAUCGGUUUUUUUCUUGAAAGAAAGAAAACUUUUUCUUGCUGCUCUAUUUCUCGCUGCAGCGAGAAUCUCUUGGGUUUGGAAGGGUAAUGCUUGCUAGAAUCUCGCUGUAGCGAGAAAGUUACUGUAGCAUUUCGCUGCAACGAGGACCCAUCGUUUACUUGACUUAAUUUGCAUAAAGGCUAUUAAGGUUUUCACUCUUCAAAUCAUUUGUUGAGCAUGGACCUUUUUAUCAAGUCAUUUACUACUUUGGGGUUUACAUGAGGGGUUUUGAUAAGAGCUAAACUAAUUGCAUUGUUUUAAAGAUAAAUGCAUCAUGAUUGUAAUACCCUGUGCUUGAUGUGGCUACUAAUAAAGCUUAUUGGAUGCCAAUUGAGAUUAAUUAUAAUGUUUAAAAGUGGUGAAAGAUGAAAGGAAUAGUUAGGAUAAAAUAUUCCGCACAUGAGGAAAUAAUAAUAAAAUAAUAAUAUUUUAUCAAAGAAGAAUUUACGAGAUAAAAAGUGAUUCGGAAGUGAAUUGAGGCAUAAUAAGGUAUUUUGGGUACCAAGGAGACAAAAAGAGACAAAAGAAAAUUUUUGGAAUAAAAUAUUAUUUUAUUAAUAAAAUAAUAUUAAAAUCUUAAUAUUUUAUUCAGUGUCAGAAUUUUUCAUAAAGGAGGAGUAUAUGGUCAAUCUAAGUGGGGGAAAGGAAGAAGGAGAAAAUUUUGGAGAAAAAAUGACGUUAAUUGGGCCGCGUGUCUUUAUUAUGUAAAGAUAGUGCGGCUAAAUAAAUAUUUUAAAUAUUACGGAGACACCGCGUUGGAGUACAAACUUCAUACUUUGUUUGUGCAUGUGUAGAAGAAGAUAAUAGAAGGAUGUUGGAGUUAAAUGAGUGUUGGGAGGACUAAAUCAAAAUGGAAAGAAAUAAAAAGGGCAAAACGGUAAUUUUAGUGAAGUUUGAUCGAAGCUUCCAAAGGAAGCUUUGACUCUGAUUUUUUUUCAGCCCAAAACCAUUCUUAUCUCCUCCAGCAAGAUUUUUUUUCCUCUUCUCCUCCAUGCUCCACGCCAUUCGUGAAGCUUCCAUGCCAUUUUCUCUUUAUCCACCAUGAAAUCAAGUUUUCUUCACUUUCCUUUCUAUGUUUUCUUUUCCUUUCUUCUCCAAACUUCUUGAGCACUAAAUUUACAGCCUUUAACCCCAAUUUCCAGCACAUCUAAACCCUAGGAGAAGAAGAAAGAAAAAGAGAGAAAGGAAGAAAAAGCUUAGUUUUGGUGAUUCAAGCAAGGAACGGUAAGAAUUCUUGUUUUUGGCUUGAGUAGUCUUUGAAAAUAAGUUAGUGACUUAGAGAAAUGUCUUGUGGCAGCAAAGAUUGGCUUGAUUGGAGAAAAAUUGGUAACAUGUAAGCCAAUAAGCCCAUGGGUAUAUGAAGGACUCAAAGUGGAAAAGGAAAACGGUAAGCUUAACGCUCUGUUUUAAAGCCUACGGUUAGUUGAAUAUUGUGAGGAAUUAUGGUUCUUGAAAGGAUUUAUUUGCCGAAGCUAGUUGAAUAUUGUUAAGAUUGUAUGUCAUGUUAUUUGAAAGAAAUAAAAAAAAAAGAAUAUUGUGGAUGAAGGAUUGAGAAAUAGAGUAUUGAAAGUUAGAUAGAUAAGGAUGUGUGUAAACUAGGAAAUAAUCGAGUGAAAGUGAGAAUAAUUGUUCCUGCAAUAUAUGUGGAUUAUGUGUGGAAAUAUAAGAUGGAUUUGGGCGAAAAUUAUUUAGAAAGGUUGAAGUAGGCACGUGACAUCAUAAAUAAGUUGUCGGUGAUAUAAUCUAAGGAAUUUCGUAAGCAAUUGAUGUAAGUAAUUUUGGUAAAAAUGUAUUAAGAUGUGAGUUAAUUGAAGAUGGUUUCAUGAUAGGAUGAAAAAUAUAAAUUUGAGUAAGGAUUAAUUGAUUGAAGUGUUGCCCGUAUAUGCAUAUAAUUAAAUAUAUUGAGUUCGUAUUAUUGUUAGGAAGUGCCAAGAUAAGGAUAAAGUACUGUGCUGGCAUGCCAGAGUAGACAUCUAGAAACCGACCAGUGAAAAUAGUUAGAGAUACCUCCGAACAAAUAGCGACUUAAUAUCUCGUUGUUGCCAGGUGAGUCAACUUGCAUUUCAAAAUCGUUUUGGGAGACAUAAUUGUAUUGGUAUGAAACAUUGAAUGAUUUAUUCCAACUUGUCUUUAAAAAACGUGUGCCUUGGGAACAAGCCUUUGAUAAAAUAUUUUGAUGUUGUGAAAAUGUGAAAUGUGUAAUAAGACGAACUUAUGUGCUCCUAUACUGUGUUGAUAUAUAUAUAUGUGUGUAUACGAAUAAUGUUGUGUAAUGAUAUUGACCCGACUAUGUGUGAGUAGAAGUGUGCAUAAGCUGAUGCUGACCAGGCUAUGUGAGAGGGGGAGUGCGCAUAAGCCGAUGCUGACCCGGCUAUGUGUGAGGGGGAGUGUGCAUAAGCCGAUGCUGACCUAGUUAUGUGUUAGUAGGAGUGCACAUAAGUUGAUGCUGACCCAGCCAUGUGCUAGUGGGAGUGCAUAUGAGCUGCUGAUGAUGGGAGGGUGUGUAUGGUGAUGGAUAUAUAUAUAUAUAUAUAUAUAUACAUAGAUAGAUAUGUGUGUUAUAGAAAGUUCAUGAGUAUGGUAUAUAAUGUUGCACAUGUGAAUCUUGCAUGUUGAACUUUGGAAAUUAUUAUGCGUUUCAUGUUGGUUUUUUGUCGUUUUAGCAAGAUGGCUUUUCUUGAAAGAAAGGAAACUUUUUCAUGGUGCUUUGUUUCUCGCUGCUGUGAGAUUCAUUCUCACUAUAGCGAGAAACUCUCAAAUUUGGAAGGGUAAUACUGGUUCGGAAUCUCGCUGCAGCGAGGACCCGUCGUUUACUUGACUUGAAUUGCACGAAUGCUAUUAAAGUUUUCACUCUUCAAAUCCUUUGUUGAGCAUGGACCCUUUUUAUCAAGUGAUUUACUCAUUUGGGGUUUACAUGAGGGGUUUUGAUAAGAGCUAAACUAAAUUGCAUUGUUUUAAAGAUAAAUGCAUCAUGAUUUUCUUUAAACCUUCCUUAUUGUUUGCUCUUUCCUUUCUAUGUUCACUCAUUGAGUUUGUACUCACGUUUUUUUUUUAAAUUCAUGUUUUAGGUUUUCUGAGUUAAAGAUGAUUGGAUCCUAGGAUGAGGUGUUCCUCCAUAUACAUUGCUCGGUUGGUUUAACGUACCACUAAGUGUUAUCAAUAAUGCCCAGAGUCACUCCGCUGACGGUCGAGGUCUAAUUAUGUGUAUAUGGAUAUUUGAUGUGAGACAUUAAGGUUCAUUUGUUAUUCUAUAUAUGUAUAUAAUGGUUGAUGAUGCCAUUAUGAAUGCAUGACUGGGUUUUAUGAAUUGUUUUCAAAGGAAUUGUAAUUAAGUAUUACAAAUUUUGGAUUCUAAAGGAAUAUGGAUUAAUGUAUAAGAUCAUGUAAGUAGGCUUGCUUGGGCUUGGUGGGCUAAGCCUAUUGGGCCUUUGCACCCGUCAUGGCUCGAAAAUUGGGCUGUGACAAUGAUUUCUUUAAAUUUUCCUUGUUGUUGCUUGUUCCCAUCCUUAUUCACUCACUGGGUUUAUACUCACCGUUUUCAACUUCAUGUUUUCAGAUCAAGAGGCAGCUAGUAACUAGGUCGAGGUGUCUUCGUAUACUAGACCCUUGGUAAGUGUCUCGGCAUUCAGUAGCUGUACAUUCGUCUGAGUUUCUCUGCUAGAAGUCGAGUAUUGUUUUGUUGUGUAUUGACAAAUCGAUGUAAAUUAUUAAAUUAUAUGUUUAGACAAUAAAUGUACACUUUGAUUGGUAUGCCACUAUGAGUUGGCAAUGCUUAGUAUUAUUUUGAUUCAAAGUUAUGAAAUUUGACUUAGCAACUUUGAUGGAACAAUGAACAGGUCACAUAGAUAGGCCUUCUUGAGCUUAGUGGGCUAUGUCCAUUGAGCCCAUGCACCGGUCAUGGCCCGAAAUUUGGGUCGUGAUAACUAGGAUGUUAAUAUACAUCAAGGCAAUUGACUAUGAGAUAUGGGAUGUCAGUACCGAUGGUCCUUUCAUUCCAAUGAUUGGAAAUUCAAUAAAUGGUGAGAAAACUCCCAAACAUAGAAGUAGGUGGACAGAAGCUGAAAUAAGGAAAGUUCAAAUCAACUCUAAGGCUAUGCAUACUCUUAUUUGUGUUCUUGAUUAUAGAGAAUAUGAUAAAGUGUUCAUGUGUAAAAGUGCCAAGGAAAUUUGGCAAAAAUUAAGAGAGUUACAUGGGGAAACAAAUAUGGAAAGGGAAUUGGAAGACAACUCUUGCAAGAAUCAAUGCUCAACAAGCAACAUGACAAAUGGAGACAAGGAAUCAAGUGAAGAUGUAUCCUCAAAUUGAAUUGAGUUAUGCUUCAUGGCUCUUGAAGAGUUAAAGGUAACUUUUUCAUCAUGUGAACUUAAUUCAUUUGCUUUCAAUGAAUUACCUGAUGCUUUUGAGGAUUUAGCUUUUGAGUUUGAGAAAAUGAAUAUAAAGAACAAGAAAAUCAUUUCCACACUCGAUGUUGAAAAUGAAUUUUUGAUGAAAACAAAAAUUGAUUUGGAAAAAGAAUAUGAAAAUUUGGAAAAGGAUUUUAAAGCUUACCAAGAGCAAAUUGAUUUUUUCGAAAAAGAAAAUUUUGACGUGAAAAUAAAAUAUGAAGAUUUAUUAAAUGAGAAAGUGGAAGAAAGAUCAAACUUGUGCUUGAUGGUCAGAGAUGAUGAAUCCGAGGUGUCUUCUACUUCUUGUGAUAUUUCAAUUGAUGAGCUACAAGAUGAAUAUGAAUGUCUCUAUGAUGAGUUUGAAAAGCUUGCAUCCAAAUAUAAACUUUGAAAAGAAAAGUUGCAUCUCUUGAAAAUGAUUUGGAAAAGAUAAGACAUGAUUUCAACUAUGCUUUUGAGCAAAGAAAUUUUCUGAAAAUUGAAUUAGAACAUUCAAAAAUAGAUUUUGAAAAUCUACAAUUGGAGUUGAAAAACAGAACAGAUGCUUUACAAGCUGCAGUUGCUGAAAAUACUGCUUUUAAGAAUUUAAGAAAAGAAUCAUCAAGAAAGAGCACAAAUUUCAUAAGAAAUGCUAAUGAUUUCUCCCCUAGAUGCUUUGUAUGUGAUAGAACUGGACAUUUAUCCUAUGAUUGCUUUAGGAAAAGAAAUGUGCGAACAAUUAGAAAAAUUUGGGUUCCAAAAGGAACUUUAUGCAACGAGACUAACUUUCAAGGAUCUAAAGCAAUUUGGAUACCAAAGAUCAAAUGAAAAAUGUCUCUUGUAGGUGUGCUAGAGCAAGGAGAAACAAUUCUUGAAGAAUGAGUGCUUUUGAGUCACACAUAAAGGAAAAUGGGUGAUCUCUAUGGUAAAACUCUUUUGUUUGUUUAAAUGAGAUUUUUUAUUGCUUAUUUAUUGAAUGUUUCAUUGAUUUAGCUUGAUUUUUAAAAUUGUUUGCUCUUCGUAAUUGAAAUCUUUGGUUGCCUAUUCUUGCUUGAAUCUUAAGUGCAAAAUUCUUUGAGCGUUAUUGAUAAAUCUUGGCUAUGCAACUUGAUUUGAUAUGAUACAUGCUAUAAGUUGCAAGGAAGUAUGAAUCUAAAGAUAGAGUAUGUACUUAUAUUUGAUCUUGAAUAUGUCAUCAUCCUUAUUUUGAAAAAAUUGUUUUAUUAAGAUUGAUUGAUUAUGGAAAAUUGUUUCUAUAAAAUUUCCUCAUGAUUUAUGACAUUGUUUCUAUACUACUUCUUUAAGGAAAAAUUAUUUUUGCGUGUAAUUUUGAAACAUAAAAGGUUGGAUAAUGUGAUAGAAAUAUGAGCAUACUUGAUGACUUACACUCACAUUUAUUCAAGUAGCCUAAAACAAGGAAAAUUGAGUUUAAAAAAAUUGUCCUUGAUUUCCUUGUUCCUAACAUAAGUCGACCAUUUGAACAAUCUUGAUUUACAUUCUAGAACUUGUUUGAAUAGUUCAAGAUGGUUGAUAAUGAGCUUGAAAGUUUUGACUACUUGAAUUGGUACUGUUAAAGCAAAAUGAGUUUAUAUGAGAAAAAUGUUGCCAUCCUUUAAGUUUAGAAUUAUAUAUGAAUUAAACAAGUUUGUUUCAUAAUGAAAAAUACUUAUGACUUGUUCUUAUUGGAUGUGCAUAUUUGCUUGUAAGCUUGAAUGGUCACAAGGGCUUUUUGGGAACAUAAUUGUGAGAUAUUUGCAAAUGACCUUUGACAUGCAUAUACAUGAUUCAUUAUGCCCAUUACAUAUUUCAUAAAUCAUUUAGAGCAUAAUGAAACAAAUUGAGUGACAUUGAGCUCAUGAUUUUUCACAAAGCAAGUCUAAUCUUGAAUGUUUCAAGUUAAAAAGUUUGCAAAGAAAGAUUAAAUAUUUAUCAAUUGAUUUUCUUGCGAAAUCUUUUUAUUCUCUUUGAUUGAAAUUAAUUCUUUCUUUUUAAUGACAUAGCAUGAUUGAGCAAACUUGAUUUGAUAUAAUUAUAUAAAUUUCACAAAUUCGAUGUUGCUUGGUAUUUCUCUUAUGAUUGGUAAAAUUGAUUGAAAGGGAUUUUUUAAGCAUGAUUUUGAGUGUGAUAAUUUAACAUUGAUGGAAUUUUUCAAGCAAAAGAACAUAUCUAUUUGCAAUGUUUAGCAUCCUUGAGAUUAUAAUGAUUUCAAUGAUAUAUAAUUUGAACAAGCAUACCUUGUGUUGAAAAUGCCAUUAUAUCUUUUUCUUGUUACAAAUGAUUGCUUGAAUAACCUCAAGGGCAUUUUUGCCCAUAUGCUAGAAAAUUGUAGAAAAUGCUAAAUUUGAUGCUUAUUAUGCUUAAACAUUGUUUAAAUACUUGUUAUACAUGUUAUAAGUCAUAGUCACGCAUCAUGAUGUAAAUUGAAAAUGUUUAAGCAUAUUAAAGGCAUGAUUCUUCAAAUGAGCAUUUUAACUUUUUUGCACUUGUGAACAAUGAGCAAUAAAAGCCAAAAUUUGAGUUCACAUGUUUUUCUUGAAGAAUCUUUGAUCAUACAUGUCCAAAAUAAUGUUCCAAACAUGGUUGAAAUUAAAUUCUAAAUUGUUCUCACACAAAUCCAUGUUUUGAGAUCAUUAUACCUUGGAACAUUGCAUGUUUUGCUCCUUUUGCUAGCUUUUCAAUGUGCAGGAAUCCAGCAUAAUUGACUCCUUAGCAUAACUAGUCGACUAUUGAAAAAAAAUGCAUAUGCUGCUAGAAUGAUAAAAAGUGGACCUAAGGGAUAAGUAGUCGACUCUUGAGUGCUUUAAAGCCAAAAUGGAUAGGUUUUGUGUUCCAAAGUAUCUUUUUACUUUACUUUUUGUCAAUUACAAUAUUUUCUUCUCUGAAUUACCUUUUUAAAGAUGAUUCUUGACUUUUAAACAUUUGCAUUGUGAAUACUCUCAUGAUCAUUUGGUGUAAGUAAUGGGUCUUGAGUUUGUAAAACUUGCUGAAAAAUGGGAAACCCUUUUUGAUGACAUAAAUCUAUCUAUAGCCAAGCAUGACACUCAUAUUGUUUCCAUAAAUUCUCAUGUAUUUACAAUGACAAAAUAGAAAUAUGAGAAAUUGUUCAUCAAUGCUUGAAUUUGUUAAUCCGAUUGGAUUUUCAUGUGCAUAUAUAGAAAAUAUCUUGUCAUGAAAAUUAAAAUGUUCAAAUGCUAAUCUAGGAACAAUUCUUGAAAUAUAUUUUACGUUUGUGCUUCAAUAAUUGUUUCAAAAUUGAUUUCUUGAUUAUGCAUACUUAUUCGAUUAAGAUGAACUCAUUGAACUUAAUGAAAAUAUUCUUGGUUCAUCUACUAUAUUGGUCAAGACACAUGCUUAUAUGAUUUUUCUUCAUGCUUGACCUCAAGGUUUGAAGUCUAAAACUUGACUUGAGCUAUGCAUUUGAACAUGAAAGUAAUUGUCAAGUUUGAUCAUGGCAUAUAUUGUGAGUUGACAUAGUGGAAAUUUAUUUUGAAUAUGCAUUUAAAUGUUAACUAUGUCUUCAUUAAGCCUUAAUGUUUACAUGUUCUAAAGAUUUUGUGUGCAUCCAACUUUAGCUUAUAGGUCACCAUAAACAACUUGACAUGUCAAAUAAAAUAUGGCCUAUAGCUUUAGUUAGCAAUAAAUGCCUAAUGUGCUUUGAUUAAAUAUCUUUUUCUUGACUCUUGAUAAUUGGUAUUCAUUGAUGAUUGAAUGUUCACUUUGAAUAUAUUCAUGAGUUGAGUACUUUACUUUCAAUAUUCUAUAACAAUUGAUAUCACUCGUGAAUUAUGAAUUAUUAAGAAAUUGCAUGUACCUUGAACUUUAAUGGUUGCAUAUUUUUUCAAUGGGUAUCUGUUUAUAUUGAACUCAUGCUUGCAUUUUGAUGAACAAAAUUGGAAUCAUGAUUAAGGAAGAUAGCCAUGUUAUUUCUUAUAACCAUGUUUGUGCUUAUUUGAUCUUAACUCUCAUACAUGAUUGCCAUAAAUGCAAAAUGCCUUAGUCAUGCUUCAUUAAUAAUGAUAUGCCUUUUGUGAAAGUUCUCCUUGAAUUUACAAUUUCAUAUAUAAUUUGGAGAAUUCAUCUUGUAAUGCUUGCUUCAAAAUGACUUGGAUAAAUGACCGCUUGAAAUUGAUUUGGGAAAAUACUUGCUAAAAAUGCUUAAUGAUGAUUUUUUUUCUUGAGUUUCUAUUUUCAUAUAUGAAAUAAGGAAUUUAUUCAAAAUGCUUGAGUGAAACUUCUUGGCUGAUUGAUAUUGGGAAUAAAUAAUGAAUGUUUGAUGAUGAUUGAUAAUACUUGAUGAUAAUUGAUAAUAGUGCUUGAAGACUAAUGAUACCUUAGACAUGCCUAGGAACUACUUGGCAAAUACUUCUUGAAAUAUGAGUAUGUGAUGAAUAUGUUGAACAUCUAUUCAAAUGCUCAUACUUUUUUUUUUGGUUCCAUGAAUACUUGAGUAUUAGGGAAAUAAAUUGAAUAUCCAUAUGAAUGCUCAUUUAUUCUAGGCUCAUGAUUUCUCUCUUAAUAUUUGAUCUAUUGAGGAUCUUUAACAAUUUGUGUUGAGCUUAUGAUUUCUUAAGGGGGAGUCAAUCAUUGUCAUUGAUAUCAUAACGAAUUAAGAUCUUCAACAACAAGGUUUGGUGAGAAUUCAACAUUUGGUGUUCUUCGCUACCGGCAACAUCUUUCUAAACACCAAAACAGAUAUUGUGCCUUAUAUUGCUUCUCACUUUAACUUGAAUGUUGAAAUGCAUAAUUGGUAUCAAGCCUUAAGUUUUCUCAAUUAGAAAACUUGAAUGUCUAGCUUUAAAAUUAGUAUCAAGCUUUAUAAUUGUCUAUUCUUUCUUGAGCUUUAAAUUGAUCAUAUCUUUCUUAAAUGUUUUAAGCCUUGAAGUUGAUAUGCUUGAAAUGCUUAGUGAUAUGGGAAGUCUUUACUAGUGCUUUACUGAUUGAUAUAAUGAGCUUCAAAAUGAUUCCAUCUCUCAUAAUUGAUAUUGUGUUUUUACAAAGGGGGAGAUUUUACUUACAUUGAUCAAUUGGUAUAUUGAGCUUUAACACUUGGUAUUGGAAUUCAAACAUGGCUUUUGUGCUUAUUGAACGUCUUUAUGAUCAUCUUUGUUGGACUUCAUAAUCGUUAUGCGCACAUUUUGCUUUUAGUAUAUAUUCAUGUGGUUAAGUGCAUAUAUAUGAUGACUUUGUGACUUUAUGGUUACAUAUUCAUGGUCUUCAUGCUUCUAUUCUUGAUGGAUUUUGCUCACUCUUCUUAAUCUUUUUGAUAUAACAAAAAGGGGGAGAAGGUUUACGAGCAAAUUUAAUUUUAUGCAUAUGUUGAAAGGGAGAUUUUAAAAUCAUUUCAAAUGCAAAUUAUGCUCAUAAUUUUGUCAUAUCAAAAAGGGGGAGAUUGUUAGCUUUAAAAUUAUUAUAGUUUUGAUUAUGACAAAAUGAUCAAAUUUGCUUGAACAUUAUUUGAGUAAUCUUUGACAAUUUCUUGAAACGAUGUAACUCCGAUACAUUUGUUCUUACAUAGACACAAGCUUGACUCUUGAAGUUAUUGAACUAUAUCUAUAAGCUUGUAUGACUUAGGUGUAUGAGAGCUUAUGAUUCCUAUUCAUUAAAGUCUGAUUUAAAGAUUAAAGAAAAAUCUAGAUGCACUCUUUAAGGGGGAGUUUUGAAUAUCUUUUUUAAUGAUGGCAAAAAAAAAGGAAAGAAGGAAAAGUAAGUUAAAUUGAGUGUGAUAGGUUUCCAUGUUUAAUUUAUGUGUGUGAUGCUUAGUUAUGAUUUUAUUAAAUAUUAUGUGCUAGUUAUUAUGGAUAUUCGAUAUAUCUUGCUUAGCUACUGUGGGCAUUGUAUAUCUUGUUUAGCUAUUAUGGAUAUGAUAAGUAGUUUAUUGCAAAUCUUUAAAGAAAACUAGAUGCAUUGACUAAGAGGGAGCAACUCAUUAUGCAUAAAGAUUUGAAGCAUUCAUAUUGAGCAUAGAAAUUGCACUAUAAAUCUAGGAGUGUUUUGUCAUCAUAAAAUAUAAGAGAUAGAGAUUGUUGACUCUAUAUGUUUUUGAUGAUAGCAAAGUAUUCCCAAUCAUUUGUGUCUAAUGCCUUUACUUGAGUGUGCAGGAAAAUUAAUGUAUGAAAUUAAUAAAUCAACCUUUCAUAGUGUAUAUCAAAAGAAAAAGGGAGAUAAAAAUAAUAAGACAUGACUGCUUAACAAGGAGAAAGCUCAUUAGUUGACUAAGAAAAAAUGUUGGUUGGCCAAGAUUCAAAUUGGAGAAAUGGUGGGCUGAAGAGUUUGAGAAAUAGAACCAACUUAGUCGACCAAGUAAGUUGACUAAGUGCUCUCUACUAGAAUCUGUAACUUGAAAUAGAACCAACUUAGUCGACCAAGUCAGUCGACUAUGAGCUCUUUGUUUGCAAGUUGAACCAGAGCACUACAAGAUAGAUUAACGGCUAGAACUCAUCCUCAACUGUUUCCAAUGGACACCAAACUGCCAUCAGAGUUGCAUCUCUAAGUAUAAAAGGGUCUUCCAACAAUUAGAAACAAGUUCUUGGAAGUUUUGGAAGAGAUUUGAGCAAUUAAGAGUUGAUAAACUAGAAAUUUUUCUCUUCAUCUCACUGCACUUAAACGUGCAUUCUUUGUACUUGUAUUCUGCACUCAACCCUGUACCAUUCAGAUCAACUUGUGAUCAUAGGUACUUUCUUCUACUUCUCUUAUUGUAUUCUUAGAGUGAGGGAGUCACUCUAGGUGGUUGUUUCAAGCGAGGUUUGCUUGAAUGUGUUAAGGUUCUAACUUAGCCUUGAAAAGUUAGUUGCUAGGUUUUGGUUGAUCCCGUGAAAAACCAUUGUUGUCGGUUGUGGUUGCACCUUUGAAAAACCACUUUGGGUUUUGGUUGAGCUUGUGAAAAACCAUUGUGAACGGUUGUGGUUGAGCCUUUGAAAAGCCACUUUGGGUUAUAGUUAAGCCCGAGAAAAACUAGUGUUAAAGGUUUUGGCUAAGCCUUGUAAAAGCCAUUGUAAAGCUUGGUGAAAGCUUGAGAAUUUCAUCAGUUCUUAGUGGAUUGUUAGAAAAAUCCUUAGUUGGAUAAUCAAGGUAGUGGAUGUAGGUCUUGGACCGAACCACUCUAAAUUAUGCUGUCUUGUUUACUCUGUUUUUGUUUUAUUUUCAUUCCUUCAUUUGUCUCGCCUUUGUCUAUACUUAGAGACAAUUUUUAAAAGAGACAAAUUAUGCUAUUCACCCCCCCUCUAGCACAUAUUAUUGGGACCAACAAAUAAAACUCUCUUCACGCAAAGCAAAGGCAAAGACAUUUUAUUUAUGCAAGUUUUUCUUGAUGAUAUUAUUUUUGGUGCUACUAACGAGCUUCUUUGUCAAGGGUUUGCUAAGACUAUGCAAGGUGAAUUCGAGAUGAGCAUUAUGGGUGAACUAAACAAUUUUCUUGGACUACAAAUCAAACAACGAAAAGAUGGCACAUUCAUAAGUCAAGCCAAGUAUACUAAAGAUAUGCUCAAGGAGUUUGGUGUGGAUAGCACAAGAACAUAUGACACACCAAUAAGCACUUAAAAAAUGCUUGACAAGGAUGAGAAAGGUAUGCCUAUUGACCAAAAGCUCCUUGCUCUAUCUCACUGCUAGUAGACCCUGACAUAAGCUUUAGUGUGGGUUUAUGUGCUAUUUUUCAAUCAUCUCUUAGAGAACCUUAUCUAAGUGCUAUCAAAAGAAUUUUUAGAUACUUGAAAGACAUAUCUAACCUAGGAAUAUGGUAUCUAAGGAGUUCCUCUUUUGAUCUCUACUCAUACUCGAAUGUUGAUUUUGGUGGAUGUAAAAUUAAUAAAAAAAGCACAUCCAGUACAUGUCAAUUUUUAGGAAGUAUGUUGAUCUAAUAGUUCUCAAAGAAACAAAAUAGUGUAGUCCAAUCCACUACCAAAGCUGAAUAUUUGGCUGUCAGAAGUUGUUGUGCUCAAGUGUUAUGAAUGAAGCAAUAAUUAGAAGAUUAUGGACUAGCCAUGGAAAGAAUUCCUAUAAAAUGUGACAACACUAGUGCCAUAAAUCUCACAGAAAAUCCCAUCCUUCACUAUAAGACGAAACACAUAGAAAUAAGCAAUCACUUUAUUAGAGAUCAUGUUAAAAAAUGAGAUAUUGUUGUUGAAUAUGUAGGAUCAAGUAGAAAACCUCGACCUCUAUAGGCUCAUAACUAGGCAUAGACAUAAUAACACGGGUUAAGGGUCAUUUCGUCAUUUAUUUAGUAAGCCCUUAAAAGUAAGUUUUAAACAAUAUUAAGGCCUAAAUAGGCCUAAGGCAUAAAUGAAUGAUGAAAAUAUGGGUAAAAUAACGAAGGAAAUAAUAAUGGUGAUGAUUUUCACGAUAGGGGCAAAAUGGUCAUUUUUCACCUCGAGUAAAAAUUUUGAAGUUUUCAUGAACUCGAGCAUUUCUAGACCAUUAUGGACCUUGUCCCAAUGUCAAAGGAGUAAAAGAUUGCAUAAAGGAUUAGAGGAGAACAAGUUGACUUGUGAGGGCAUUUUGGUAAUUUAAGUGAAGUCGAUAAGGUUGGGCUAUAAAAUCUCUUUCUUCUAGCGGCAUCUUCUCCCAUUCUCCAGUAGCUUUUCUCCUUCUUCUUCCUCUCAUCUCACGUUGCUUUCAUCCUCCAUGAAAGCUUGAUAUGAAAGCUCCAUAACCUCCCUUAAAAUAGCUCCACUUUUCAUACCUUGGUGCACCCCUUUCAUCAACCCUUGUGCUCUUCCACUCUCUCACUUUGAAACCCUUGAAAAAUCUUGUUUCCUUACUCUCUCUCACUAGUUAGGUGUUUUAGAGAGAGAAAGAGGAAGUUUUAAUAAUAGCUUGAAAGUUGUUGGGAAGAAUUUCAAAUUCAAGCUAUUUGUGAAACCUCGACCUUCAUAGACGAGUAACUCGAGGUGGAACUUAUGUUUAAAGGUUUAAUUUGAGCUAAUGAUGCUAGUUCUACGUUACUUACAAGUAUUUUAUGUCGUUAUAGGAGUAGGAUAAAAAACAAUUUUAAUUAGUGAAGAAAGGUGCAUAAUGAACAGUAGCCUUAUUUGCAUAUGUUUCGAUUUUUCAAGUAUAUCUCCCACUACAGAAGUUCAAAUAACAUGAUUUUUUGACCAGUAGAAAGGUAAGAGGCAGGGCUACAACUUUAAUAUUUACCAAUUUUCCCAGUUCUAGGGAGAAUGUGGUCAAAAUCUUUGUCGAAGUGAAAGGACUGCACCAAAAGAACAAAAAUUGGCAGGGUGUUUAAGCGCCGCAACGCUAGCAAUUGAGAGUCGCAGCCCUCACCGUAAAUUCUAGAAAUGACAAGAUUUUGGGGUUUUUGAAGCUAGGACUUUUGGGGGCUACUUAAGGGACCUCUUUCAGAGGAUUUUGGACCUUUCCCUAAUGUCAAAAGAAUAAAAGAUUGCAGAAGAGCAAGAGUGUGAGACCUUAACCCCUAUAGUCUCAUAACUACACAAAGACGCAAUAACACGAGCCAGGGGUAGUUUCAUCAUUUCACCUAAAAAAGUCCCAGAAGAAGGUUUUAUGAUAUUUUAAGGUCUAAAUAGGCAUAAGACCGAAUAAGUAAUGUGUAACGAUGAAAACACGAAGAAAACUAGAAGUUUCGAUAAUUUUCACAAUAGGGGCAAAAAUGGUCAUUUUGCACCCCGAGUCAAAAUUUUACAUUUUUGUAAACCCGAGUAGUUUAGAUCAUUUUGGACGUUGUCCCAGUAUCAAAAGAAUAAAAAAAAAAUUCACAAAGGAUAGGAGAAGAACAAGUUAACUUGCUAAAGGGCAUUUUCGUAAUUUCAAGGGGAGUUGGAUAAGUAUGAGCAAUAAAUAUCUUUCUUCCAGUAGCUUCCUCAUUCUCCAGUAGCUUUUCUUCUUCUUAUUCCUUCUUCCUUCUCACGUUUCUUCAUCCUCCAUGGGAGUCCUCUUCAAGCUUCCAUAACUUUCUCUCUCUAGCUCUAAUUUUCAUGCCUCGGUGCACCUUUUCAUGAAAUCCUUAUGCUCUUUCACUUUAAAACCCUUGAAAAAAUCCCACUUUCAUACUUUCUCUCACUAGCUAGGUGUUUAGAGAGAGAAAGAGAGAGAAAGCUCCCAUAAUAAUUUGGAAAACUUAUUGGAAUGAAUUUCAAAGUUUCAAGCUACCAAGGUGAGUAGGGGGUGUCAAUUUUAAAAAUUUUCAUAAAUAUAUACCUAUAAGUAUGAUUUAUUUUAAUUGUGAAAAUUAUGGGUAGCAUGUGCUGGUAGAUAUUUUAGGGAAUUGUGAAUCUUUGUAGUUGAGGUUAUCUACUCAUUUUAAAGUGAUUAGGGUAGUGAAAAUGGAUAGCCAUUUAAAUGGCAAUUAGAAGCUAGCUAAGAGAAAGCCUUAGACUUUAUAAGUAUGUGAAUUGACAAAUUGGUGAUGCUAAUGUGAUGAUAGGUUCCAACGAAGCCCCAUCAUCCCAUUUGGAUAAUUAGGGAAGUUAGGAUCGGCUAAAGGCUCAAAUAAUACCGAUGAUUGAACAUGCAUUUCAAAAUUGUUUGGGGAAUGUGAAUGUCUUUGCACAAAGCAUUCGAACGAUUUUAUACAACUUUUCUAAAAAAUGAGUGCCUUGGGAACAAGCCCUUUAUAAAUUGUCUUUACGUUGUGACAUGUGGCUGUUAUGGAUUCAUGCACUGCUACAUUUUGUUGAUAUAUAUAUAUAUAUAUAUACGAAUAUGUGUUCUGUGAUGAUAUUGACCCGGCUAUGUACGAGUAGGGAGUGCACAUAAGCCGAUGCUGAUCUAGCUAUGUGUGAGUAGGGAGUGCGCAUAAGCCAAUGCUAACCCAGCUAUGUGCGAGUAGAGAGUGCACAUGAGCUGAUGAUGAGGGGGUGGUGUGCAUGGUGAUGGAUAUGUAUAUAUAUACAUAUAUAGAUAUGUGUGUUAUAGAAAGUUCAUGAGUAUACUAUACGGUUUUGCACAUGUGUAUGUUGCAUGUUGAACUUUGGGAAUUAUUAUGUGCUUUAUGUUGGUUUUUGUGAUUUUUGCAAAAGGGCUUUUCUUUAAAGAAAGGAAACUUUUUUUCUUGCUGCCCUGUUUUCCACUUCUUUUGUACCAUAGUUGAGCAUGGACCUUUUAAUCAAGUGAUUUAUUCAUUUAGGGUUUACAUAAAGGGUUUUGAUAAGAGCUAAACUAAGUUGCAUAGUUUUAAAGAUAAAUGCAUCAUGAUUUCUUUAAAUUUCCCUUGUUGUUGCUUGUUCCCUUCCUUGUUCACUCGCUGGGUUUAGACUCACCGUUUUCAACUUCAUGUUUUUAGAUCAAGAGGCAGUCGGUAACUAGGUCGAGGUGUCCCCAGAGACUUUUAUCCAUCUGUUGGUAGGUAUCAAUGGCAUGUAGUAGCUACACCUACACUGUGGUCAUUCCGCUAGAGGUUCAGAGUCAUUUUGUUGUAAAUAUGUAUAUGUGAUGUAAAUUAUUAAAGUACAUGCUUAGACAAUAUAAGUACACUUUGAUUGGUAUGCCAUUAUGAGUGGGAAACGCUUAGUAUUAUUUUGACUUAAGUUAUGAAAUGUGACCUAGCAACUUUGAUGGAAUUAUGAACAAGUCAAUUAAAUAGGCUUGCUUGGGCUUAGUAGGCUACAUCCAUUGGGCUCGUGAGCCAGUCGUGACACUACCAAGGUGAGUAGUACACUAGAAUUGAGUUUUUAUGUUGAAAAUGAUUAGUGUUUAAACUUGGGGGCGAUUUGGCAGUUGGGGUUGCUCAUUCAUUUUAGAGUGAUAAGGGUAGUGAGAAUAGAUAGCCAUUUAAAUGGCCAUUGGAAGUUAGCUAAAAGAAAGUUUUUGGACUUUAUAAGUAUGUGAAUUGACAUAUUGGUGAUGCUAAUGUGAUGAUACGUUGUAAUGAAGUCCCACAGCCCCAAUUGGACCAUUAAGGAAGUUAGAGUCAGUUAAAGGCUCAACAAAUACCGGUGAGUGAACUUGCAUUUCAAAAUUUGUUUUGGGAAAGUAAACUUAUUUGCACAAUAUACUUGAAUGAUUUUAUCCAACUUUCCUUAAAAACAAGUACCUUGGGAACAAGCUUUUGACAAAUUGAUUUUAUGUUGUGACAUGUGGUUGUUAUGGAUUCAUGCACAACUACAUUAUGUUUGUAUAUAUAUAGAUAUAUAUAUGUUGUGCAUGAUGGUUGAUAUUGUGUGAUGAUUAUAACCGUGUGUGUGCAUGAUGUGGGGGGAUGCACAUGCCCGUAAUGAUGGUGGUGAGGGAGAUGGAUGAUGAUAGUGCUCGUGUGCACGAUGUGGGGGGAUGUGCACGAUGGCACUAACUGUGCACGAUGUGGGGGGAUGCACACGAUGACUCUGGCUAUGUGCACAAUGUGGGGGGAUGCACAUGAGCUAGAUGUGAUGAUAGUGGUAUUGGUAUUUAUCCAUGUAUGUAUAUGUAUAUAUGUUUAGAGAAUGAAAACUCAUGUAUAUGGUUUAUGGUUGAAAUGCAUAUGAAUUUGGCAUGUUGAACUUUGGAAAUCUUUAUGUGUUUUAUGUUGAUUUUGUCAUUUCAGCAGGAUGGCUUUUUNNNNNNNNNNNNNNNNNNNNNNNNNNNNNNNNNNNNNNNNNNNNNNNNNNNNNNNNNNNNNNNNNNNNNNNNNNNNNNNNNNNNNNNNNNNNNNNNNNNNNNNNNNNNNNNNNNNNNNNNNNNNNNNNNNNNNNNNNNNNNNNNNNNNNNNNNNNNNNNNNNNNNNNNNNNNNNNNNNNNNNNNNNNNNNNNNNNNNNNNNNNNNNNNNNNNNNNNNNNNNNNNNNNNNNNNNNNNNNNNNNNNNNNNNNNNNNNNNNNNNNNNNNNNNNNNNNNNNNNNNNNNNNNNNNNNNNNNNNNNNNNNNNNNNNNNNNNNNNNNNNNNNNNNNNNNNNNNNNNNNNNNNNNNNNNNNNNNNNNNNNNNNNNNNNNNNNNNNNNNNNNNNNNNNNNNNNNNNNNNNNNNNNNNNNNNNNNNNNNNNNNNNNNNNNNNNNNNNNNNNNNNNNNNNNNNNNNNNNNNNNNNNNNNNNNNNNNNNNNNNNNNNNNNNNNNNNNNNNNNNNNNNNNNNNNNNNNNNNNNNNNNNNNNNNNNNNNNNNNNNNNNNNNNNNNNNNNNNNNNNNNNNNNNNNNNNNNNNNNNNNNNNNNNNNNNNNNNNNNNNNNNNNNNNNNNNNNNNNNNNNNNNNNNNNNNNNNNNNNNNNNNNNNNNNNNNNNNNNNNNNNNNNNNNNNNNNNNNNNNNNNNNNNNNNNNNNNNNNNNNNNNNNNNNNNNNNNNNNNNNNNNNNNNNNNNNNNNNNNNNNNNNNNNNNNNNNNNNNNNNNNNNNNNNNNNNNNNNNNNNNNNNNNNNNNNNNNNNNNNNNNNNNNNNNNNNNNNNNNNNNNNNNNNNNNNNNNNNNNNNNNNNNNNNNNNNNNNNNNNNNNNNNNNNNNNNNNNNNNNNNNNNNNNNNNNNNNNNNNNNNNNNNNNNNNNNNNNNNNNNNNNNNNNNNNNNNNNNNNNNNNNNNNNNNNNNNNNNNNNNNNNNNNNNNNNNNNNNNNNNNNNNNNNNNNNNNNNNNNNNNNNNNNNNNNNNNNNNNNNNNNNNNNNNNNNNNNNNNNNNNNNNNNNNNNNNNNNNNNNNNNNNNNNNNNNNNNNNNNNNNNNNNNNNNNNNNNNNNNNNNNNNNNNNNNNNNNNNNNNNNNNNNNNNNNNNNNNNNNNNNNNNNNNNNNNNNNNNNNNNNNNNNNNNNNNNNNNNNNNNNNNNNNNNNNNNNNNNNNNNNNNNNNNNNNNNNNNNNNNNNNNNNNNNNNNNNNNNNNNNNNNNNNNNNNNNNNNNNNNNNNNNNNNNNNNNNNNNNNNNNNNNNNNNNNNNNNNNNNNNNNNNNNNNNNNNNNNNNNNNNNNNNNNNNNNNNNNNNNNNNNNNNNNNNNNNNNNNNNNNNNNNNNNNNNNNNNNNNNNNNNNNNNNNNNNNNNNNNNNNNNNNNNNNNNNNNNNNNNNNNNNNNNNNNNNNNNNNNNNNNNNNNNNNNNNNNNNNNNNNNNNNNNNNNNNNNNNNNNNNNNNNNNNNNNNNNNNNNNNNNNNNNNNNNNNNNNNNNNNNNNNNNNNNNNNNNNNNNNNNNNNNNNNNNNNNNNNNNNNNNNNNNNNNNNNNNNNNNNNNNNNNNNNNNNNNNNNNNNNNNNNNNNNNNNNNNNNNNNNNNNNNNNNNNNNNNNNNNNNNNNNNNNNNNNNNNNNNNNNNNNNNNNNNNNNNNNNNNNNNNNNNNNNNNNNNNNNNNNNNNNNNNNNNNNNNNNNNNNNNNNNNNNNNNNNNNNNNNNNNNNNNNNNNNNNNNNNNNNNNNNNNNNNNNNNNNNNNNNNNNNNNNNNNNNNNNNNNNNNNNNNNNNNNNNNNNNNNNNNNNNNNNNNNNNNNNNNNNNNNNNNNNNNNNNNNNNNNNNNNNNNNNNNNNNNNNNNNNNNNNNNNNNNNNNNNNNNNNNNNNNNNNNNNNNNNNNNNNNNNNNNNNNNNNNNNNNNNNNNNNNNNNNNNNNNNNNNNNNNNNNNNNNNNNNNNNNNNNNNNNNNNNNNNNNNNNNNNNNNNNNNNNNNNNNNNNNNNNNNNNNNNNNNNNNNNNNNNNNNNNNNNNNNNNNNNNNNNNNNNNNNNNNNNNNNNNNNNNNNNNNNNNNNNNNNNNNNNNNNNNNNNNNNNNNNNNNNNNNNNNNNNNNNNNNNNNNNNNNNNNNNNNNNNNNNNNNNNNNNNNNNNNNNNNNNNNNNNNNNNNNNNNNNNNNNNNNNNNNNNNNNNNNNNNNNNNNNNNNNNNNNNNNNNNNNNNNNNNNNNNNNNNNNNNNNNNNNNNNNNNNNNNNNNNNNNNNNNNNNNNNNNNNNNNNNNNNNNNNNNNNNNNNNNNNNNNNNNNNNNNNNNNNNNNNNNNNNNNNNNNNNNNNNNNNNNNNNNNNNNNNNNNNNNNNNNNNNNNNNNNNNNNNNNNNNNNNNNNNNNNNNNNNNNNNNNNNNNNNNNNNNNNNNNNNNNNNNNNNNNNNNNNNNNNNNNNNNNNNNNNNNNNNNNNNNNNNNNNNNNNNNNNNNNNNNNNNNNNNNNNNNNNNNNNNNNNNNNNNNNNNNNNNNNNNNNNNNNNNNNNNNNNNNNNNNNNNNNNNNNNNNNNNNNNNNNNNNNNNNNNNNNNNNNNNNNNNNNNNNNNNNNNNNNNNNNNNNNNNNNNNNNNNNNNNNNNNNNNNNNNNNNNNNNNNNNNNNNNNNNNNNNNNNNNNNNNNNNNNNNNNNNNNNNNNNNNNNCCUGUGAGUGGACUGCCUAUCAAAAUUGUUUUGGGAAUAUGACUGUUUUGAACAAAGUGUUUGAAUGAUUUUAUGCAAUUUUUCAUGAAAAUGAAUGCCUUGGGAACAAGCUUUUGAGAAAAGGUUUAUGUUAUGAAAUGUGGUUAUUAUGGAUUUCUAUGUGGCUGCAUUAUGUUGAUAUACAUAUAUGCUUGAAUAUAAUGUUGUGUAAUUAUGUUGACUCGACUAUGUGUGAGUAGGGAAUGCGCAUAAGCCGAGGAUGACCCGGUUAUGUGCGAGUAAAGAGUGCGCAUAACUCAGUGAUGACCCAGCCAUGUGCGAGUAGAGAGUGCGCAUGAGAUGGUGAUGAUGAUGAUGGGUUGGUGAGAUGAUGAUGAUGGGUAUAUACGUAUAUAUAUAUAUACAUAUGUAAAUAUGUGUGAUAUAGCAAAUUGAUGGACAAUGAUUUAUGGUUGUAAUGUACAUGAAAUUUGACACAUUGUACUUUGAGAAUUUUAAUGAAUUUUAUGUUGAUUUUAUUAGUUUAGCAUGAUGGCUUUUUGUUGAGUGAGGAAAAAUGUUUCUCUUGUUGCUCUGUUUUCACUGCAGCGAAAUUCAUGCUCGCUGCAGCGAGAAACUCUGAGGUUUGGAGGGGUUUUAAAUAGGAAUGAACUAAAUUGCAUUGUUUUGAAACAAGUGCAUCAUGAUUUUAAAUUUUCCCUAAUUGUUGCUUGUUCCCUACCUUGUUCACUCACUGAGUUUAUACUCACCAUUUUCAAAUUCAUGUUUUCAGAUCACGAGGCAGCUGAUAAUUAGGAUGAGGUGUCCUUGUAGACUUGUGUCCAUCUUUUGGUAGGUGUCUCGGCAUUCGGUAGCUGUAUAUUCAUCCGAGUCCCUUCGCUGGAAGUCGAGUAUUAUUUUGUUAUGUAUGAAUGAACUUAAUGUAAAUUUUAAAUGAGUAAUGCCAGUACGAGUUGGCAAUGUAUAUCACUAUUUUGAUUCAAAGUCAUGAAAUAUGACUUAGUGAUAAUAGAUGGAAUCAUAAGUAAGAUAAAUAAUAGGCUUGCUUGGGUUUAGUGGAUUACGUCCAUUGGACCGAUGCGCCAGUCAUGGCCCGGAAUUUGGGUCGUGACAUUAGUGGACUACGUCCAUUGAGCCCAUGUGCUGGUCAUGGCUUGGAAUUUGGGUCGUGACAUCAACAGAGCAAUUGGCUGAUAUCUUCACAAGAGCACUUGAUAGAGAACAAUUUUGCAAAAUUAGAAGUGAAUUAAGUCUUAUAAAUCCAUCCUAAAAAAAGAGAAAACUAUAGCUAAUAGCUACUUAUGAUUAAAUUUUUUUCCCUAAUGUUGUAUAUGACAAGCAUGUAUAAAUCCAUUUCCUACACCCAUAUUGCCUACAUCAUGCAUAGUGUUUUAGGUCUUUCUUGCUUCAAGUUAAGGAUGAUGUUUGGAAUGACUUCAUGUAUGACACUUGACUAUUCUUUGUGCAUCCAUAAACUCGCAUGCUCAUGGCACUCUUAUAAAUGAUUGUUAUUCAGUUACAUAUAUACAUUCAUAUGCAUUCACGCCAUGGCCAUCUAAUUCUUAAGGGUUAUGGGAGAGUUGUUGAGUGGACCAAAUUUUCUUUCAAAAACUCUUGAUUUAAUGUUUAGAUUUCACUUGUAGUGGUUCCAGACUUUGUUUUCAAAUAUUUUCAAAUCAAAACUUCACAUUAUUUUGAUUGUACAUUGUGUUUGGACCAAAUCACGAAUUUUUUAAGCCAAAAUUAGUUUGUUCAAGGCCAUAGUUGUUAAUGUAUCAAUACAUUAACCCAUGUAUUGAUACAUUCAACAACAUGUAUCGAUACAUCUCUACUUGUAUCAAUACAAUUCGUCUAGUAGCCAAAAUAAAAUUCAUGUGUUACAUGUAUCGAUACAUAGGCAUAUGUAUUGAUACAUCAUACAAUGUAGUGAUACAUUUUGUCUAGUAGUCAAAAAUAAAAUAUUCUACCAUGACUAUGUUGAUACAUGGGCACAUGUAUCGAUACAUUGUAGGGUUUUAAGAGAUUGUUGACUCAUUUUCGCCACAUUUCUCAACUCUCUUUCCUUUAAAUUCUCUCAAACCUCCAAAUCGUUUUUGUUUUUUAGUCCUAUCUGGUCUGAUUAAACCUUUACUAACCAUUUUUUAUUGAUCAAAACACCAUUUUUUCAUCCCAAAACACUACAUUUGGCCUGCAAUCCUAAAAUUCCCAUUUUGAAACCCUAGGUUCCCUUUUCUUGAAUUUUUGCAAAUUCCUCAAUUUUUAGGGAAAAUCUCACUGAUUACAAGUUUUCCUAGCCAUUUUUGACUAUUUCUGUCAGUUCCUUUUCACAAAAUCAAAACUCUAAUGGCCUAUUGACCUAAACGCACUAAAUCCACCUCUUCCCGCCACUAGGUCUCAACCCUAGAUGCUUCCGCCUCCUCUCAACCACCACCAUUAUCGGCACCACGAAACGACGACAGCUCCUUCAAGCAAAACUUCUCUCACCCCUCUUUGAAGUGAAAAUUCAACAAGGAUUACACAGAGCGAGACGUAAAGCUGAGACAGGUAAUCAACUUUAACUAUCUCAAAAGCAUUAAUGUUCCAUUUAUUGAUAAUUUUUUAGAAUUGGGCUGGCUAAAUUACUUGUCAAUGCACUGCACUUAGUAUGUUGAUUUAGUUAGUGUGUUUUACUUUAAUGCAACCAUAAAAUUUUAGGACUAUGAGGAUAGUGAACCCAUAGAACAAACUGAUAAGUUUUGUACCUAUGUCAUGGGUAAGAAAAUCGUGGUCUCCCGACACGUCGUAGACUCUAUCUAAGACUUUGAUAUCUGUCAGGGUGAUCAGGCCUAUGCCAAGGGGGUCUUGUCCAAUAAGGUGCUGUCCAUUGCUUAUAUCGAUUCUCCCACUAGUGAAAAGAAUACGACCAGUGUCAAGUGUUUAUCUUUUUACAAUCGUAAUCACACUUAUGGCACCAAUUAGUCCACUGUCAACAGUGAGGACUUUUGGUUUUUGUCUCGUAUCAAAUCCAACCACGGUGUCAACCUAGCCAAGUUCAUACUUGAUGAUAUAUUGAAAAUUAUAAACAAGUUUAGGAAGACCCUUUUCUAUGGCAUGGCCAUUUGUGCCAUCAUUGACUCUGUGAGAAUCAAUACUAGGUGUGACCCACCUAAACAACAUGCCAUGCACAAGAAGAUCAAUGAGCAUGCCAUCAACAAACUUGGAUUUGUGUAUUUCAACCAUUCUUGGAUCUGUAAAGAAACGUCAACAAACAUGAUAUUAUUAGGGAUAAGGUAAAUGAGGAUACAUUUACUUAGCCUUAUGUAGCCCCUAGUGUAGGUCUGAGUGUGCACCCGACGGUUAACCCUAGCUUCCCACCUAUGUCAAUUGCCUUUGACUUUGAGCUAGCUUUUACUCGAUUAUUAUCUUUUAUGGAAUCUAUUAAUGCUUGUGUAGUUAACAAGUUGGAUGCUUUAGAGGCCCAAAACUAGGAGUUACUUCAUUGCUAGUAGUUGCUUGAGGAGCGAUUUCGAGCUCACUUUCCACCACCAUCUUGAGCUUCUCACAUGGGCCAUUUGCCUACCUUUAGCUCACCAUGUUAUCCUUGGAUUAGAUGGCCACAUUGUCAUAUCAUUUUCCUCAUUAUUUACCACUAACAUUGUCUUGCAUUUUGUCUUUUUCGGAUUUUAUAUACUGAUGUUAACUGGUUAUUGGUGACCAAAUAUUGGAUUGUCUUAUGCUUUGUGCUACUUUAUGCUUGUGCACCACACAUUAUGUUAAUACUCAACUUAUUUACAUUCAUGUUAUCUUGCUUAUGCUUAUUUGAAUGGUCUGCUUUAUAUUUUGCAAAGUUAUUAUUUCUACCUUUUAUGCUCUAUUUAUUAUUUUCAUAUUUUGGACUUAUUUCUCUUAUUAUGUCUGAUGUUGUUAUGGGAUGACAGUUCGUCACUUUGUUUAAAACCAGUUCUUUUACCUGGCCCCAUGCUUUUAUAUCCAAUUGAUUUUCCUUUUUGUUUCAUGCUAACUUUCUUUUUGAUAAAACAAAAAGGGGAGACUAGGGAGCAAAUUUUAUAUCACUUUCUCAUCAUAACAAUCAAACUAUUUUCAAAUUCACAAAUUCUUAAAAGGACUUUAAAUUGUUAGGGAGCAUUGAUUAAGGGGGAGGGUUCAAAACUACAUACAACUUUUAAAUCUUCCAAAGUUUAAGAGAAACCAUUUUCAAAAGUUUAAACAAGUUUGCUUAUUAUUUUAUCAUUCAAAAAAGAGGGUGAUUUUUAGCUUAAUAGUUUUCAAAUAAAUCUCAGGUUUUGAAGUGACAAAAAUAAAAUGAUGAAAAUUCAUUUAAAUCUUGGAAUAUCAAGACUAGACAUCCCUUAACACUUUCAGAUGAGUUUGAGAAGAAAAAUAAUGAAAAAGCACUUUGAAAUAUGCAUUAUAGUCCAAAUCUAUCGAUACAUGUUCUUUAUUUAUCGAUACAUGUUCUUGAGAAAAGUCAAAUUUUGAAAAGUCAAACUCAAUAUAUUGAUAGAUUCUCAAAUGUAUCAAUAGAAAUGCAACAGAAUGCUCGCUGCCUCAAAAGUGUUGAUAUAUUUCUCAAAUUUAUCAAUACAUUUUCAACAAAAUGUUCACCGUAUCAAAAGUAUUGACACAUUAGUAAAUGUAUCGAUAUUGUUGGUCUGAUUACACACAUAAGUGCACGUGGCCAUACAAAUAAUAUUGUCACAGCCUAAUUCCAAAGCCAUGACCGGCACAAGGGCCCAAUAGGCAUAGCCCACCAGGCCCAAGCAAGCCUCUCUUUCUUUAAGAUCUAAAACUCAUAAUUUCUAAUAAAUAUUCUUUCAAAAUUAAACCGUGAGAACCAAGUAUAUAUAUAUAAUGUUCUCGAAUUUAGGUUAUCAUUCAUCAACCUCAUACGACAUGGUUAAUCAAACCAACAUACAAAGUGCACAACAACCUCACAAUUUACAUUUAAGCAACUAUAUACACAUGCAAAAGACCUUGAUUAUCAGCGGAGUGACUCUGGGUGUGGGUACUGCUACUAGAUGCCAUGGUACCUACCAAAUGGUGAAUACAAAUGGACAUUUCAAUCUAGGUCCCAACUACCUCCGAAUCUGAAAAUAUGAAGUUAAAAAGAGUGAGUAUAAACCCAGUGAGUGAACAUGGGAAGGGAACAAGCAAACGAUAAGGAAAAUUUAGAAUUCAUGAUGCACCUAUGUUAAAAACAAUACAAUUUAGUUUAAGUCCUUGUAAAACCCCUCAAUUCGACCUUUGAUUAUUUAACCCCUUAGUAUUGAAGGAUCCAUGAUCGAUAAUGAAAUCAAAAAGUGAAAACCACAGUAAGUAUUCGAGCAAGACAAGCAAGAUAGAGAGUUUUUUUUUUUUUGCUUUGAAAAUCAAUUUGGAAACAAUUAACAAUUUCAACAUUAAACAUUCAUUACAAUCACAUAAUAUUUUCUCUAACAUUUCUAUGGUAUGUGUAAACAUGUAUACAACCACUGGCUCAUCAGCUCAUGUGCACUCCCACACUGCACAUAGCUGGAAUCAUCAUCCACCGGUCAUUAGCUCAUGUGCACUCCCACACCGCACACGUGCGGUUACAAUUAUCACAUAAUAUUAUCAUUGAAAGCAUAACAUAUAUAUCAUCAGUAUAUAGGAACACAUGGGUUCAAAACAUUACACAUUUUACAACAUAAAACGUUUCAUCAAGGGCUUGUUCCCAAGCAUGAGUUAGAGAAAAGAAAUCAAAUAAAAUCAUUUAAGUGCUUUAUCCCAACACAUAUUGUCACAGCCCAAUUCCAAGGCCAUUACUGGUGCAAGGACCCAAUAGGCGUGGCCCAUUGGGCCCAAGCAAGCCUUUCUAUGAAAACUUGUUUAUUAGACCACCUGUCCCUCUUUUACCUCUAAGUUUCUUAAUUCAUUGCUUUCAAAAAUAAUUUCCUUUCGAAAAUAAAUCAUGGCAACUGAACAAUACCAUUCACAAACCAAACAUACAGUGUUUACAACAAAUCUCAUGAAUUACAUUUAAUUAACCAUAUACUUGUACAAAAGACAUUGACUAUUAGCAGAGUGACUCUAGCGUGGAUACUAUCACGAAGUGUUCUGGCAAACCUACCGUAAGAUGAACAGGAGGAAGCGCCUUUAUCUAAGAUCGAACUAUCUUCAAACUUGAAACUAAAACAUGAAGCUGAAAAGGAUGAGUAUAAACCAAGCGAGUGAACAUAGGAAGGGAACAAGCAAACGAUAAGGAAAGCUUUUUGAAAAUAUGAUGCACUUGUUUAAACACAAUUCAAUUUUGUAUAUUAUGAACAAAACUCAAUGCAGUGUUCUUUUUCAACUCAUUUUAAAACAUUUAGGAAGUUCAACUUCCAACAUUCAAUGUGUCAUGACUCGGUACUCCCCUCGAGCCCCUGACAACUGUCGCGGUGUCCCGAUAGACACUCAUUACUCGAAAUGUCAACCGAAACCCCGCAAGUCUUUAAUAUCAAUUUUCGCACCUCCCUAGUGAGCAACAGUUGUUAAGUAUCAUGUUUAGAGAGAUUAUAAACUAUUUCCAAAUCAAAACAAUAGAAAAAAAAAAUUUUCUCAUAGGGGCAUUUUGGUCAUUUUUCCUCAAAAGUCUUGAAACCAGCUAAAAAUGUAGUAUGUGAGUGGAAAACAGAUAAUUCAUAAUAAAAAAUAAGUUUAGAUGUCCAAAACAUUCAUUUAAAGUGAAACUAUAGCUAUUUUAAAUAUAAAUAAAAUAUUUAAUAAAAUAUUCUAUUUUCUUAUAAAACAAUAUUUAUAGAGUUACCGGUAAAUAAUUUUUGUGGCGUAAAAACUAAAUAAAUUCAUACAUAUUGUAAUACAGAUAACCAAAGCAUAAAAUUUAAUUUACAGCGACAUGUGGGCCCAUGAACGACCAAAAGUAUCAAAAGCGAUAAACCUACAGUUUUUGAGGAUGCAAGUCCAACUGUAGACCUCAACAAAGUGAGCUAUCUACCUACUAUUCUAAGCCUGAAAUGGGUGGAAAGAAGGGUGAUGAGAUUAUAUAAUCUCAGUGAGUAAACCAAUAGCAUUUAAAAUAUCUAAAGCUGAGUAAAUGGAGACAGAUUAAAAUAGAUCAUCAUACUGUAAUUCAUCACCUUUCAACUCAUUUCAACAAAAUAAAAUCAAUUCAUAUAAAUUGAGUAAUCAACAUGGCUUAUGAAUUUCUUAAAACUUUGGCUAGUGCCAAAAUCAUUCUCAUACUCAAUUAUCAAGGAUACCUUGGCCAAGGGCUAUCACAACCGAGUUUGCCAAGGCUAUUAAAAGUUAUGUACGAAUAAAUCAUGUUUUUAUUUUGAAAACAUAGUCGUUCCUUGGUGUUGGUUGAGUUCACCCUCACGUGGUGGUUUGGCGUGAAGUGAACUCUAAAGUGUUAACCUCAGAAGUUAUCCAUCCACGCCUCUCAUACUGAGGUAUGGACAUAAUAGGGUUACCGUGCCCCCUCUAAUAGGCUGGUCCACGAAACCCAUCCAUUGCAGCGACUAAUCAAUAAUCCACCAAUUCAAUAAAAUUCAAUAGCAUGGCAUGGCAAUUUUAUCAUUAUUCAGCCUAUCAAGGCAAACAACAGUUUAUACAUUUUCAACACAAAUACCAAUUCAACCAUUCAUGCCAAUAUUAUCAUAAGCCAUUCAAUUCAAACCAUGAUUUAUAACACAACAAUUAGUCUCCAAUUACUCCAUUUUCAAAACCAUCAUUCAAUUUCAAGACAAUUUAUAAAAUCAUUUCAUUUAAACAUAUUUUGUUUAUAAAACAUAAAGAUUUAUUAUUUAAACUCAUUUUCCAUAAAAUCACAAAAUCGGCUAAAAACCACUUUAGAUAAUUAAGACGAUAGUAAGGUUACUCACUAUUUUGGGAGUUGAAUUCCGAGUACUCCGAUUCUUGAUCAUCGGGUACUAUCUCUUUACUUUUGCCAGAAUGCUCACCACCUAGACAUAAUGCACAAUAAGCCAUUUACUACAUUUGUGCUAAAUUGUUAUAAAAGCAAUUCAGGCUCUAUACUAAUGCAUGAAAUGGGAUGUGAAAUACUUGGCUAACUAUCUAAAUACGGUGUUCAAUAUAAAUUCAAUUAUGUACCUAAAUAAAACGGUAUUGGCCUAAUUCGAUCUAUCACCUGAUUAAUUGGCCAAUACAUUCAAUUCAACUCCAAAUAAUUCCAUUUUUCUCCCAUUACUCCAAAUCAUCAAACACAAAUUAAAUAACUUGAAAUAUGGUAAAAUCAUCCUCACAUUUUCUCUUGGAAAAUUCGGCCAUGGUGGGUGCAUCAACAGUAUAAUUUUUCCUACUUGAUUCUCACACCAUAAAUCACUAAUUCCUAACCAAAUCACUUGAAAUAAAAUCAAAAUCAUCCUCAAUAUUCCACAUGGAGAAUUUGGCCAAUGAUGGUUGAUGGAAGAACAUGAAUUUUUCUUGCUUGAUUUUCAUGCUACCCAUCACCAACCAACUAAAACCACUAAAAUACAUUGAAAUCUAACCAAAUCAAGCAUCAAAACCUCUCUCUAAGUGUUCAACCAGCAAGAUACCCAUCAUGAAAUCAAUUGAUUCAACCAUGGAAAUGCAAAAGAAUGUAUGGGAAAUGUAGAUCACAAGUCAAAAUCAAGAAAUUUUACCUUUGAUUGCUUGAUUACUUGAAAUCCACCAAUUUUCUCUUGAGUUUUCACCCUAGGGUUCUUGUUCUUUCUUUUCUUCCUUUGUUCUUGCUUUGGCCGGC
rnacentral:lncRNA from 1 species